rnacentral:lncRNA from 1 species
AACCAAGCAUAUUGCUUUCCUCAAAUCCAUUAGUUGCUCGGGAAAGUUCAUCAUGUGAAAUUCUUUUCAAAGACAACAAAUCAUCUUUAAUUGGUAGAGUUGUACUCCUUCUUUGGCAUCUUCUAUACAUNNNNNNNNNNNNNNNNNNNNNNNNNNNNNNNNNNNNNNNNNNNNNNNNNNNNNNNNNNNNNNNNNNNNNNNNNNNNNNNNNNNNNNNNNNNNNNNNNNNNAUUUGGGAGUUUUUGUGGAUGUCGUUUUUGCAAGGUGGGACUAGCAAUCUAGGUGGACCACAAAGUGCAUAAUUCUUCAUGAAUGAUGUGCUAGAAAAGUUUGAAAAACAUCCUUUGCUGGGAAUUUCCCCUUCAAGUCUAUUGAAAGACACAUUAAAAUACUUUAGAUAUAAAAGCUUUUCCAAAGAUUUGGGAAUGACUCCAGAGAGAUUGUUAUUGCAUAAAUCCAAGAAUUCCAAACUAAUCAACCCAUCAAAUGAUUCAGGGAUAUGACCAUGUAGUAUAUUAUUUGAUAAAUCUAAUGAAACCAAAGUUUGAAGACCCCCAAAUGUGGAUAAGACAUCGCCCGUGAGAAGAUUCCUUGAUAAAUUUAGUUUCAGUAGACUCCUAAGAUUUCCAACAUCAAUAGCAUGUGAAUUGUGAAGAUGGUUUAAUGAUAAAUCUAUUUUUAAGAUAUCUUUGAGAUUCCACAAAGUUGAGGGUAUUGCAGAACUCAAUUUGUUGGAAGCAAAGUAAAGAUAUCCUAAAGAAGUAAUAUUACCCAAACAAGAGGGUAUGGAUCCAUGCAGCUUAUUCAACCCUAAAAACAAGUUGUAUAAUCUCUCCAAAUCACAAAGGCUUUCUGAGAUGGGCCCUCCUAAUUUAUUAGAGGAAAGACCUAGACUUUGGAGAUUCCGCAGUCCUCCUAUUGAUUUUGGAAUGAAUCCACUUAAUUUAUUAUAGCCAUGUUCUAAAACCAACAUGUUGCUUAAGUUACCUAUUUCCAUAGGAAUAGUGCCUUGAAGCUCACACUCUUCGGCAUAAAAGUAUUGAAGGGAUUUUGAAAGGUUCCCAAUAUAAGUAGGAAGAACGCCACUCAAUGGAUUUUCUGAAACUCCUAUGGUUUUCAAAUUCUUACAAUUCGUCAAAGAAGAAAGAAAGCUCCACUCAUGAUCAGUAGCAGAUCCUGUGAUCAAAUUAUUGUUUACGAUUCGGAACCAUUCAAGCUGUCUUAAGUUGCCAAGCGUUUUAGGGAUUGGGCCAGAGAAUAAGUUAUCUCCCAAGUCUAGUUUCUUAAGCAUGGAAGCAUUGGAGAUAGAGUUGGGAAUGUUUCCGCUAAGUUUAUUUCCCCCAAAAAAAAGAAACUCAAGCUUUGGAGCAUUGGUGAUGGGUGGUAAAUUACCUGUAAAAUAGCAUCUUUUAGUAUACAUAUUCAUUGAAUACCAAAUUCACAAAAUAUAUAAUACAUUAAAAUAAAAACUGUAAAACUUUAAAUCAAUUAAGAAUAGAAUUUUGGCAUGGAAAAAUGUGAUGAAAUCAAUUAGAAAGUUGAGACAUAAUAAGAAGUUUUGAGUAGUAAUUACUCAUGAUUUCUAUAGACAAAACAUAUAAUAGACUGAUAAUUUUUUUAAAAUAUUGUAAAACCUGAAAUAAAAUAAAAAAUAAAAGUUUGGCACGAGAAUGUAGCAUCUAAUCAUUCUUAAAAAUAAGACUAACACUGAAUAAUAAUUAGUUAUGAUUUGAGAAAAAAAUUUUAAAGAUGUAUGAUUUUUAUCUAUUGGGUUAAUUAUUUAUUUUAAUUAAAUUACAGUGUAAAAUUUAAAGAUUAUUAUUUGCUCAAAAUUUUUGUAUUUUUCGUAUAUUUGAAAUUUAAUCUUUAUAUUUUUUAUUUUCUGUGAUUUAGUCUCUUUACUUUUUGAAUUGAAAAUUUUAAGUUUAUUUAUUAACACUGUUAAAAGGUUUUUGUGUUAGUAUGGCAUUUUAAAAAAUAAAAUAAACUUGAUAUCUAUGUUUUUAAUUAUUCCAAAUACUGUUUUACUAUUCCAAGAUAAAUUAUUUGUGUCUAGACCAAUAUCUUAAGAACUAUUGUUGCAUGUUUAAUUAUUCUAAAGAAUUGUUGAUUGAGACUUAGUUGAAGUGCACUAUUUUCCUAUUUAUGAAUUGGGGAGUUGGUAAAGUACUAAAUUUUGAUAUAUUUUAAAAUAUUAAAAAUUUAUUAAAAUAUUUUUUUAUAAAAAUUGAUUCUACCACAUUAUACAAUUUUAAUAUCAAAUUUUUAAUUUUUUUAAAAUAUUAGCGACUACCACAUUAUACAAUUUUAAUAUCAAAUUUUUAAUUUUUUUAAAAUAUUAGCGAAUAUAUACUUUAUUUCAAGUUACACAAUUUUUACUAGUUUUUAACUUUUUUUUUAAAUUUUUAUCCUCUUUUAUAAUUUCUAAUAAUUUUUUAUAAUUUUUUACAAUAUUUACAAUUUCUAACAAUUUGUAAUAAUUUUAUUAUUUAUUACAAAUUUAAAAAUUAACAAGUUUUUAUUUUUAAAACAAUUAUAUAUUUAUAAUGUAGUUAUUUUUUUAUAAUUUUUUUUGAAAUUUUAAAGAUUUUUUUGGUUUUUUUUCUAGAUGAUGAUGCCAUCAUGAUGACAUCAUAUGCCACAUGGCAAUUUAUAAUUAGUUAAAUAUCUCAAUCUAUUUUUUAACGUCCAAUGGACUAAAACAAGAACACCUGAUAAUGUUAGAGACUACACUGGGAAUGUUUGAUAAUAUCAGGUACUAAAGUGGGCAAAAAAAUUAAGGACUAUAUUAAAAAUAUAUCUANNNNNNNNNNNNNNNNNNNNNNNNNNNNNNNNNNNNNNNNNNNNNNNNNNNNNNNNNNNNNNNNNNNNNNNNNNNNNNNNNNNNNNNNNNNNNNNNNNNNNNNNNNNNNNNNNNNNNNNNNNNNNNNNNNNNNNNNNNNNNNNNNNNNNNNNNNNNNNNNNNNNNNNNNNNNNNNNNNNNNNNNNNNNNNNNNNNNNNNNNNNNNNNNNNNNNNNNNNNNNNNNNNNNNNNNNNNNNNNNNNNNNNNNNNNNNNNNNNNNNNNNNNNNNNNNNNNNNNNNNNNNNNNNNNNNNNNNNNNNNNNNNNNNNNNNNNNNNNNNNNNNNNNNNNNNNNNNNNNNNNNNNNNNNNNNNNNNNNNNNNNNNNNNNNNNNNNNNNNNNNNNNNNNNNNNNNNNNNNNNNNNNNNNNNNNNNNNNNNNNNNNNNNNNNNNNNNNNNNNNNNNNNNNNNNNNNNNNNNNNNNNNNNNNNNNNNNNNNNNNNNNNNNNNNNNNNNNNNNNNNNNNNNNNNNNNNNNUACAAUUAUUUAUGAUGAUGUUGUUGUCAAUUCCUAAGUUAGUGUCGAGUUAAUUUGUGACAUCAUAAAUUUAAGUGAUAAAUUUAAGGUUUUAUGUAUUGAUGCGGAUUCAAAUAUCACCAUAAUUUUUUUUAAAUAAAAAACUAAAGUACCCUCAAAUAUUAUAACUUAUAUUAAAUAUGAAAGGGUAUUUUUGUAAUUUCUCUAACAAGUUGGUGCCCGGUUGACUCAUGACACCAACUCAAUCAAAAGCUUCAAUAAUAAUAUAGAUAUUCACGUUAAAAAAAAGUACUUUAGUUCCAAAUAAUUAUAUAACAAGUAAAUUUAUAAUUGAUGAAUAAAUUUAUAAAAAUAUAUUUAUAUGAUCUAAUACAUUAUAUUUAUAUUAAUUAUAUAUCAUCUACAAACUUUGAAGAUCAAUUCAUUAAGUAUCAAGAAAGGAAAAAAAUGAAAUUGAAUUAACACUAAAUCAAUUUUUAGAUUUUGUACAGAUGAUUUAAUGAUGAUAAAAAAAUUAUUAGCACUAUUUUUGAAUUAACAAAAAAUUAGUGAUAUAUUUUAAUUAUAUUUAUUAAUUAUUAUUUUUAAUAAUGUUUUUUUUAAUUAUAUAAAGUAAAAUUACAUUGUAUAGUAAAUAUGGUACAUAUACUUUAAAUAUAACUAGAAAAUUUAUUAUAUAAAUUAAUAUAUUUUAAUUAUAUUCAACCAUUUGAAUAACAAAUAAAAAAAUAAUUAGAAUAAUUUAUUUUUUAAAGUUUAAUGGAAAUUAAAAAACUAAAAAUUAAUCAAUUCAUAUAAAUUUUGUUNNNNNNNNNNNNNNNNNNNNNNNNNNNNNNNNNNNNNNNNNNNNNNNNNNNNNNNNNNNNNNNNNNNNNNNNNNNNNNNNNNNNNNNNNNNNNNNNNNNNAUCAGAUGAAAAUGAUAAAAGUAUAUGACAUAAAUAGAAGAAACAAAUUCAACACCAUGUUUUUGGAGUUUGGAAAAUAUUAAAGUGAAAAACAUACCUUCUAAUUUGUUGUCAUAUAGACCUAUUUUUUCGAGCGUAGUUGAAUUAAAAAUACUAGUCGAAAAUUGAAGUGAAAAACAUACCUUCUAAACUGUUCAACUAAAAAUACUUUAAGCAUUUUUUUUAGUAAAGCCCUUCAAGCUUAUUUUUUAGUAAAGCCCUUCAAGCUUGGGAAGAUGUUGACACAUAUCAUUAGGCAAAGACUAAUAGCCUUCAAAGAAGAAAUCUUGAAGAUGGAAGAUGGAACCUGACCAGAUAAUUGAUUGAAUCCUAAGCUCAAGAUCUCUAGAUUAGACAUGUUAACAAGUGUUUCAGGGAUUGUGCCUGUAAAUUAAGUUAUUAUUUUUCAUUUUCAGCCUUCGAACUCUCUGUAAGUUCCCAAGCCAUGAUGGAAUUUCCUGAUUAAGACGGUUGUAGCAUAAUUGAAGGAUCCUCAAACGAUGCAAUUGGCCCAAUUCUUUAGGGAGAUGGCCAUAGAAAUGGUUGCUACUCAAGUCGAGAGAGAGUAGAAAUGAAAGAUUUCCAAGGUGUGGAGGGAUAGUACCCCUAAGAUUCAUGCUUGUAAGAUUCAAAGCUGUAACUCUUUUAUGGAGGAUGCCACAAGAAACACCAAUCCAAUUGCAAACAGAGGUUGAGACCGUCCAAUUGUUUGGCAAGACAUUUUGAGGACCGGCGAUGCGAUCCUUAAACUCGAGAAGUGCAAACUGAUCGGAAUUGAGAUUCCUGACUGUCAUAGCCAAGCACGCAACAUGGUAUGAAUAAAGCUAAAAGAAGAUGAAAGCAAGUGUUGUAGUUCAUGAUUGCAAGACAGAAUAAGCAAAGAAAAUAAAAUAAAAAAAAGUAGGAAAAGGGAAGUUGAGUUAAUAAAAUAGUUUGGAUGAUGAAGAAAAGCCCAGACAGCAUGCUUUAAUAUGUUUGGAUGAUAAAUUUAAACUUGAUAAAUUUAAGACUACCCUAAAAAUACGUACAAAGAAAUUUCAAAUUUUCAAAAUAAAUACAUACAAAGAAGCGAAUUUUCAAAAUUUCUCCUAAAUUUCCUUCACAUUACUCCACAUAAUCCAUUAAAAAAACUUAAAAAAUAUAUUUUAUUAAUUACUAUAUAUUCUUUUAUUUUCAGAAUAAUAAAUUGUUUAAAAUAUGCUAUUAGUCCCUGUUAUUUAAAAGUUAAAAAAAUUCAAUCCUCCUAUUUUUCUAAUUUAAAAAUUCUAGUCCAAUCAAUUUUAAUUCCAUUAAAAAAUUUCAACUUAAUAGGUUUUUUAUUAUCAAUCAUAUGCAACAUUAUAUGAAGACAGUCUACUCAGCAUAUAUCCAAGUUUACAGAUUUUAAUAGAAAAUACUUACAAUCCUAAUGGUAGGACUAAGUUUUUUAAACUAGAAAAGUAAGAAGACUUAAUUUUUAACUUUUUAAGUACAAUGAUUAAAUUUUAAAUGUUGUCAAAGUACAAGCACUAACAAAAUAUUUUGAUCUAAUAAAUGUAAAAAACUUUUUAAACAAAAUAAGGUUGAAAUAAUCUAUUUUUCCUUGUACUUUGAUAAAAUUUGAGAUUUAGUCCUUAUAUUUAAAAAGUUAAAAAUUAAGUCUUAUUGUUUUUAUUUAAAAAUCUUAGUCCUAUCUUUAAUUUUAUUUUAUCAAAUUUUGUCAACUUUACAUAUUAAUUAAGUUUCCAUUAUAUGUCGUGGUAUCAAUCAAAACUUAAUUAACAUCCAUCAAUACGUCAUACAUAAAAAAUGCAAGCAUAAAAUGCAGUUAAAAGUAUUUGGGAUCUCGAGUGCAUCAAGUUCCUCCUUUUAUUAUUAAAUGUUUUAUUUUAGUUACUUUAAUCAAAUAUAUCCAAAUUGUAAUAGAGUUAACAUUUAUUGUGUAAAAAAUAUUUUAAACUUUUUGAAUUGUAGUUUAAUUCUAGAAGAAAUAUUUCAUUUAUAAAACUAUAAAACUUUAAAAAUAUUAACUCUGUUAAAUAAAAAUUAUUUUUUAAAAUAGUAAAUGUUAACUUUAUUAACACAAAUGGGUCUUUAGGGCUAAACUUCAGUAAUUGACGAGCUCUUCCACAAACCGUGGAUGAUUUGGGGAUAAAAACUUCAAUAAUUAUGGAGUUAUAGUGUAAAUUUGCCACUAUAUUAUAAGUGUAUUGAAAUUUAUCACUAUAUUUUAUUUGAUGUUUAUCAUUACACUUUGAAAAUAUAAGUAAAUUUACCAUUUAACUCAGGUUUAACUUUGCAAGUAAACUUAAAAUUUUAUUCAAUUUUGUCACUAAAUUUGAUUUGUUCAAUAUAGAUUUUGGUGACUUAAAACAAAAUUAAUAAAAAAUUAUUCUUCCGGAUAUCUUUUUAAUGUUUAAUAAUAAGUUAAUUUAUAAAAUAUACUUUCAUUGGACACAAGCCCCCAAGGCAGUGAAACACUGAUCAAAUUAAUUUGGAGUUAUCUUUUUUUCUAAAUAAAGUGAAUUUACGAGUUUUGUUUUCUUUUAAAAAUAAUUUUAAUAUUUUGGUGGAUAUCAAAAAUUAUUUCAGUAAGAAAUUUUAAUUCACUCGAAAAGUUAGUGUUUUAUUUCAAGGGUCAUAAUUAAUCAUUAGAUUUCUCAAUUUUAAAUUUUGAAUUUUUUGACAAUUGCGUAAUUAAUAAGUACCAAUUUUGAGUGUUGUAGGGCUAGUACAAUCUUCAUUACACAUACCCGACUCUUGAACUUACUCUUUUCUCUAGAAUUCAAUGUAGACCUCAAAUUUAUCUUUUGAAAAGAAUUUUAAAAUCGUAUAAAAGGUUUUUUUUGUGACCGAUCACACUUAACAAAAAUUUAAAAAUUAUUAAAAAAUAAUUUCUUUUUGAAAUUUAAAGUGAUCUAAAAACAUAUUUUUAAGUGUUUUGGACCAUCUAUUGCUGAUUUCCUUAUUAUAUUAAAUGUUUGCAAUCACUCCUAAAAUAUUAUGCGUGAGUUGUAACAGAGCAAAUCGUCAACGUGCCAUAUUGAUCAAUUGAUGCUGAAACUGAAGUUUUUGUUAUAUUGAUAGAGCUUGUCCUUCAACGCAUACAACGUGUUUAUUAUUUUUCUCCCUUCAAAUUGUAUGAUCUUAUUCAUUAAAUGAAUUAAUGAAUUUCCCUAUUAAAAAAGAUAUAUUUUUAAAAUUAAAUACUUAAAAAAAUUUUAAAACUAUUUAAAAGUUGUAAGCCUUAAAACAAUCAACAAAAUAUAUUUUUCUCUAAAAAAAAUCAAUAAAAAUAUGUUUAAAAUUUUUUAACAAUAAUAUAUUUUAAAAUUAUAGUAACGCUAUAAAAUAUAUAUAUUUACUAAUUAUAUACACCUUUCCAUACAUCCUUUUUCUACAUAGAAUUUCAAAAGUAAAUGUGAAUUAAUGUAGACGUGAGAAGACUUAGAGGUAAGUCACCCAACGAAAGUGUCCUAAACCGACUUACGGAAGAAUCAAACAAUAAUUUUGUAUCUUAUAAUAUAUUUAAUUACAUUUAUUAGUUUAUCAAUCAAAACUUAAUUAGAAUCCAUCAAUAUUUCACACAUCAAAAACCCAAACAUAAAAUUCACUUUUAAAUUAUUCGGGAAAUAUUUGUAUUAUAGGAAAUGGGUUAAAUUAGUUUUUUAUUAUUAAAUGUAUUAUCUUAAUUUUUGUAUUAGGUAUGAAUGAUAUCUCCUAGAUUGAAGCCAAAGCUAUUCUUGAAAGACUAAAAUUAGGAUUCAGAUGUGUUGAGAUGGAAAGUGGCAACACAAUGCUGAUUGAUACUAUUUGUAAUGGGUUAGCUACAAUAAGUCGUGCUGCUGAAGUAAAGCAAAUUUACGAUUGGUGUUCCAAAAAUUUGGGAAGUCAAAUUUCGACAUAUUCAGCGGAAUACCAAUAACGUUGUUGAUUGCAUAGCUAAGGCAAAUGGAGGCGUAAUUGAGCAGCUGGUUAUCUUGGAAGAUCCUCCGCAUUAUGUGAGAUGGUAGCUUGAAGAAGAUAUUAGAUAGUCACUGGUGAUUGAUGAUAAUUUUCAUUUGGACUGAUGAGCGCUUAAUUUUCUAAGCUUAUGUUCAACAAAAAAAAAAUUAAAUACGUCUAAAUUGUAAUAGAGUUAUCAUUUAGUGUUUAAAAAAUAUCUUAAAAAUUAUUUUUUCCAAUUGCAGUUCAAUUCCACAAAUAUUGACGAUGAGCCCGGACAUAAAAAUUACAAAAAAAAAAAAAACACAUCUAUUAUCAAACCAGCAAUCCAUGUCUAAACUUAAAUUAACAAAAUUCGCCACGCAACCCGGUACACUAUUAUAUAUAUAUAUACACACACUAGAUUUAUUCUAGAUGCACAUGUUUUAUUAUAUUUAAAAAUUAAAAUAUAUGGUUGACUAAGAUUUAGUUGAGUUAGUAUUGAUAUUAUUGUCAGUGUAGAAAAAUGUGAGUUUAAUCGUGCUCAAAUGUGUUUUAUCCUCCAAUUCAAGGGUUAGGAAAAGGUUAUUGAUAAUUAAAUUGUAUCAACUUUUAUGAUAUUAAAAAAAAAGGAUUUAUAAAUAAUAUAAGGAAAAGAAAAAAAGAGAGAAACAUAUUCAUAUUGAUGGGCUCUUUCAAUAUUAGACUUUUUUUUUCUAUCACAAGUAAAAAAAUCAAAGGUGAUAAUAAUUAAAUUAAAAUUUUUAAAUUAAAAAAAUAGGGGAUUGAAUUUAUAACUUUUAAAAUAUAAAGAAUGAAUUUAUAAGUAACAACAUAUUUUAACCACAUAAUAAAAGAAGUUAUGGAGAGGAUCAUGUAAAAUAAUGACCUGAAUAAUUUUAAACCUCUCAUCAUUGCAAAAAUGAAAUAAUAGAAAAGAAAUAAGUGUUGGGUGUAGUGGCAAGGUACAUUAUACUUCUAAGGGGAGAUCAGGGUUUUAGACAAGGGAAGAAUUUUAAACCUACUUUUUUCUCUAGAACUCAAUCCAAACCUCAAAUUUAUCUUUUUAAAAGAAUUUUAAAAUAUCUAUAUAAAAGGUGAUUUUUUUACGGAUCACACUUAACAAAAUUUUAAUUUUUUUUUGAAAUUUAAAGUGAUCUAAAAACAUAUUUUUAAGUGCUUUAGAUCAUCCUGUGCUAAUUUCUUUAUUAAAUUAAUUUGUUCAAUAUAGAUUUUGGUGACUUAAAACAAAAUUAAUAAAAAUUUAUUUUUUUCAGAUAUCUUUUUAAUGUUUAAUAAUAAGUUAAUUUAUAAAAUAUACUUUCAUUGGACGCAGGCCUCCAAGGCGGCGAACCACUGCUCAAAUUAAUUUAGAGAUACCUAAAUAUGUUUUCAUCAAUUAAGAAAUUAAAAAAAUUGUUGAGACCUCAUGAUUAUCUUUUAUAAUUUCAGGCUGAUCAACUAUUUUGAAAACAAAACGUCUUACACCAAAAACUAAAAAAUAAAAACGUCGACAUUAAAUUUGUUGGUAUGCAAUCAAUUUUAAGAUGGUUUUUGGAGUUAUAUAUCACCUUAGCAUUGACUUACUUUUCUACUCUUAGUCUUCUCCAACAAGUUAAAUAUUUCAAUUUUAACAACAUUGACAGGUAUUUGGGGUAGGGUCGAGCAAAAUUCAAUAGAAAUAGAUGAUAUACGUUGAGUUGGCUCGGCCAAGUCGAGUCGAGUUGUUCAAAUUAGUUAAAUUAGUAAAUUUUAGGGUGCAGUUAGAAUUUUUUGUUUUGAGAUGCUAAGAUUAAAAAAUUUCAGUUGCUAAAACAAAAAAUUUGUAUUUAAAAAGGCAUAAAUUAAAUAAUUAAGUUUUUCAAGUUUCCAUUUAAUCAAAGGUUAAAAGGACUAAAUUGAAGCUUUUUAUUUUUAAGAAAGGCUGAAUGCCAAAUUGCCCAAAGCCCAUGCCCCUAGCUAUACAACUAACUUUUCUAUGAUUAGUCCUUGGUUUGCUUUGGGUGGAAUCUUCCAACUAGCCUCAUCCUUGGUUUUACUUUCCAACAAUUAGUGUAUCACGAGUUUUGUUUUCUUUAAAAAAUAUUUUUGUGGAUAUUAGGAGAUAAUGAAAAUUAUUUUACUAUGAAAUUUUAAUAAAACUGGAAAAUAAGUAAUUUAUUUUAAGAGAUCACAAUUAAACGUUAGAUUUCCAAUUUUUAAAUUUUAAAUUUUUUUGACAAUUGCAUAAUAUUUUGAGCAUUGUAGGAUUGCCAUAACCUUCCCUACGCAUAAUCGACUCUUGAGCAUGAUGGAUCCUAGACCUUCUCCUCUAUUUGCGUACCACAAAUUGCUUCGAGUGUGGGUUCGGACAAUCACAAAUUAAACACAAAACCAGAAAUGAUUUAUUACUUUCAAUAGCAACGUAAUUCUCUCUCAAUAGAAACCAAUAAAAUUGUAAUUCCUAGAAAAUAAAAUUUAUUUUUUGAAAAUAUAUUCUCACUACUUUCUAGCAGAAUAACAAUAUGUGAAACUUAUGUCUUGUGUUAAUAGCUCUACCUGUACUAUCUAUUUAUAGGGAGAGACACGAGAAUCCUGGUUGAAUUAGUAAAACACAAAUAAUAUUUAUUUCAUAGAAAACAAUAUUCCACCCUAAGUGGAUCAAGUUUGUAUGACGCAUGGAUCGAAGCUCAAUCUAGGAGAAAAAAAUAAAGGAAUUUUCUUUGUAAAGAAAAUCUGAGAUUGUACUAUUUUCGAAGAUAUAAAUAAAAUUAUACGCCAAAUUUUCAAGUCAAUUUUCAACUCCAAUUUUGUAUGCACAAAUUUCUAAUACAGUUGGUGGGACAUUCUUUGACUUUUAUCUAUUCGCUCAAAAAGUUGAAGUUCAAAGUUGCAUUAAACUCAAAGAAGAUAAUCAUUAGUAAACCAGCUCACAAGCCUGCUCAAGCUAAUCCUACAACUCGUUCCACUUCAUCAUCAAACACCAAUGUUCUUGCUUAUCCUUAUGGAAUUAAACAGUCCUAUUUUUUGCAUUUUGGGUACACACCUAGUUUUGUUUGAUGCUAAAACAGUCCCCGAGCACUCCAAAGCCUAUAAUUGAACAAAUAACACUAAUUUAAUCUUACAUAACGUGAUCCCAAAUUGAACUUGUAUUGAGGUUUUAACCCAUAAGUGACUAAACCUUACCUUCAACCGAUGAACAGUAAUUACCACACAAACUAAGACUCCGAUUGGCGAUUACGAGCCCUUGAAUCCUCUCCUAAUUGGCAUAAACAAAACACUUCAGAAGAAAGUUAACAAACAUAGACAAAUCACUUAUCUAAAACUUAUCGAACAAUCACAGACAAACGUGGAGCGACACAAGGUAGAGUGGGAAAAGAAAAAUCAAGAGGAUGAAAGGUGAAAAAGAGCAGAAAUUCGGCAGCAAUGAAAAGAAAAACGGUAAAAGGGUGAAGGGAUUUUGGGGAAAGUAAAAAAAAAAAAAGAUGAACAGAAUAUUUGAUAACCACCCCAAUCCCUUAUUUCUCUCCAUCAAAUUCCCCACUAAAUCCACUACUCGAAUUUUUAGUCCAUCUCAAACUCUCCUAGACGAACAAGCAAAAAAUAAUGCCCAUGUCAAGAUUUGAGCACAGGACCUCCCUCACACCAACACUCCACUUAUCCACCAGACCAACAGACUCAUUCUUUUAAUUAUUUGCCAACUUUUACUUAAAAGCCUACUGACCAAAUAUAGGGCUUAUUCAUAAAAAUACCAAAUUUUGCCCAAGUCCUGGCUUGAACUUGCAACCUCCCAAACACACCUAGAACACAUAACCACUAAAGCAGACAAAAAUUUUGUGUCACACAUUCACAAUACCCAAAAUUAAAAAUUUGGGGCGUUACAAAGACACAUUAAAUAAUAUCGCAUAAAACAAUCACAGUCAAAUAACAGUUCAGAAUGUCGGCUUUACAAUUUAACCACCAAUAGUAUAACAGUAUUCACAGUUGUAAUUUCAGAAUAUCAGAUUUCCACAUCAUUCACAAUAUUCACACAUAUAUAAAUAUAUCACAAUAGAAUUCCAGAUUUGUAUGCACAUGAUUUAAAAGAUGCCAUACAAUUUUGGGUUUUAAUAGAAUAAAUCCUACCCCCUGUUACAUACCAUAAUGGGAGUUCCCCUAAACUCCCUUCUCCAACACACUAGAUUGUGGAUAAACCAUUAUUGUUUCACAAAUAAUAACUGCCAUUUGGCUGUGGACACACAGUAAGUUCCCACAAUUGGAUUCUAGAUUUGGUUGUGGGUUCACAGCAAAAAAAAUCCUACAAAUGAAGCCUGAUUUUGCCUGUAGAUUAUACAACAUAUACCCGCAGUUGGAACCUGUCUUUAGCUGUGGAUGCACUGUAACACCUCAAACCCGACCUGGACGUUAUGGCUGAAUCUUGAGGAUUUACUUUAACUCGCUAGAAAACCCACGAAUUUACUUUGAAAUCAUGUGGUUAAACUAGUGUUCACUUUGAUAAAUCGUUUUCCAGUUUUAGAGAAAAUUCUUGUUAAAACUGUUACUUUAUUACAAUAAAACAUUAAAGUAAUUGUAUCAUUUUGUAGUGGAAUCUACUAAGCUAUAAGGUUUUGAAAAUCGUGGUUUAGUUUGCAACAAACCAUUUUGCAAAUAGAGAUGUGUUACGAAAAAAAGUUUAUAAAACGACUUCAUUGUUAUUGGCAAAUCAUCAUAACCAUUAUUACUUAGUAUGUCUGAUUUGUUUGGAAAACUUAUUGAUAUACUUAUUUUAUUUAAAAUCAUUGCUCGCUUAUGCCUUUUUAUUAAACUGAAUGUUUUGCAGCGGAGUUUCUUUAAAACGUCAUAUUUUGGCAAAUCAAAUUGUUUCUUGAAAACCGUUAUUUUAGAAAAGUUUUCAUUUUCAGAAAAAUUAUUUUAUCAGUUGUUACGCUGAGAAAACCAACAUAAAAUCCAAAACCAAAAAUAGUCCCAAAAAGUCUAGAGUGUCCCAAAAUGACAAUACUCUCAAAACUAGACAAGUUUAAACUAAUUUUAAAAGAAUGAAAUUUUACAAAAAUGUGGUCACCACUGAGCUUCCAUCGCACCGACCCACCUAAAUCUGAGGGUUACUUGAACAGACCAAACAAACAGAGAGUGAGUUUUGAAACUUAGUGUGUAACGCGUAUAUAAACAAAAAUUCAGAAUCAAUCUCAUGCAGAACAGAUACAAAUGUAAACCUUUUAUAAAAUCAGAAUUAUACAAAUACAAAUAUAUAACAUCCUACCUCAUCCUCUACAUACCAACUCCGACCAUCCCAUUACACCACGUGGGGUAUAAAAUACCCAUCCAGCCCUACACAUCGUAUAGUGUUUAUAUGACACUUUUUUGAAUAAUCACAGCAGAGUUGCCAGUAUAUAGGCGAGAUAUCACCUCACACAGAACACUUCCUCCUCAUAAUACAAAUCCUGCCCCAUGGCCAGAUACAGACAGAAUAUCAUGUAAAACAAAUUAACAGAUACCAGAGUUAACAUAUCACGCGUGAGCGUAUAAUAGAUAUUACACAUGUUUAUGCAUAACAAAACAAAUCAUACAUACUGUAUUCCAUAAUACUCAUAUAAAUGUUAUUUACGUCAAUCUCAAUCUAACAGAGUAGCAGAUUUCAUUCUUUAACGCUUAUACCACACAUAUAGACCCUACGGAUGGCCCAUAGUCGAUCGAGACGACAUGCAUGUCCCUAGGGAAAAAAAUUGUAAUUUGGGCCCACAUGCCUAUAUGAGCCCACACGCCCAACAUGGCCUUGCCUAUGUGGCUCACCAACCUAGCACUCAGCCCAUACAGUCUAAAAUGGCCUAGUUCAUGUGUCACACACAGCCGUCUGUUGCACACGGCCUACCACAUAGCCAGUCACAAAACCGUUUGGAGUUGACAAGCCCAAUUUUUGGCUUUCGUCGAUCGUCGUUUUCUUGCGUUUUCAUUACACACCUGGUUUGAUUCUGACGCAAAAGCAACCCCAAGUCCACCGAAACCUAAAAAUAGCAUUCCAACGCCCAAUUUCAGUGAACAUUUACAAAACUCAAACAAAAACUAUCCAAAAAUAUAGCCUCACAAUAGCAUCCAACGCACUCGCACACUUACCGUCAACGAACAGGAAACACCCAAAACUCAAUUCGUUGGAGGAGAACCAAUUAUGAUAAUGCAAAAAUUUUAUUGAUUCUCAACACUAUCGAUCCGAAGGUAAGAUUGAUGCUUUCCAAUUAUGAUAAUGCGAAAAUUUUGUGGGAUGGUUUACCUGAAUUUUUUGUUGUUGUCAACGAUCAACGUAUUCAACAAUUAAAAGAAAAUAUUAGUCGUUGUGAGUAAAUCAAGACUAUGAGUGUUGUAGUUUUUUUCAGUAAAUUAAAGGUUUUGUGAGAUGAACUAGAUAAUAAUGAACCUUUGAUUUGUUGCAAGUGUGGACAAUGUUUAUGUAACUUAGGGAAGGCGCAUGAGCAACGUCGUGAGCAUGAUUGACUUCAUCAAUUACUUCUUGCUCUCUAUUCUAAUUGUUAUGCUCAAAUUAGGUCUACAUUGUUUUACCAAGAUCCUUUGCCUUCCUUAAAUCAGGCAUUCCAGCAAAUUACUUAGGAGGAACAUGUACGUGGAAUUACACUGAUUAAGGAAGAGAAGUCUGAUAUUUUAGGCUUUGCUGUGCGUACAGAGGGUCAUAACAAAGGUUGAGCUAAUUGUAUUGAUAAGUCAACCUUGUUGUGCACUCAUUGCCAUCGCAAAAGGCAUGAGUUGGCUACCUAUUUUGAAUUACAUAGCCACUUGGAUUGGUGGCUUAAGAAGUAUGGGAAGCCAGAGAUGAAAAGUGAUGAUCGUGGUGGUAAGACAAGUGCCACAUCUUCCACGUAAGUGUUUUAUUUCAAGGGAUCAAAAUUAAACAUUAGAUUUCUCAUUUUUAAUUUUUUUUUAUAUUUUCAACAACAACGUAAUUAACGAGUACCAAUUUUGGGUGUUGUAGGGGUUCUAUAACUUUCCCUAUAUGUAAUCGACUCUUGCACCCAUUUUUUUUUCUCUAGAAUUCAAUGCAAACCUUAAAUUAUCCUUUUAAAAGAAUUUUAAAAUCUCUUUAUAAAAGACAAUUUUUUUAGGUGACCAAUCACACUUAAGAAAAACAAAUCGAUGGCAACUCUUUUCCGAUAAGUGUAAAAAACUUUUAAACAAAAUAAGGUUGAAAUAAUCUAGUUGUCGUUAUACUUUGAUAAAGUUUUGGAUUUAGUCCUUAUACUUAAAAGGUUAAAAAUUAAGUCUUGUUUUUAUUUAAAAAUCUUAGUCCUAUAGUUAAUUUUUUUUUUUUGCAAAAUUUUUCAAGUUGACAUAUUAAUUAGGUUUCUCUUAUAUAUCGUGGUAUAUGACUAACACAAAAUAAACAAGUUGACAAAUUCUAUAAAAAAUAUCAAAGAUGAUAAUAGUUUAAUUAAAAUUUUUAAAUUGAAAAAGAAAGGGAUUAAAUUUAUAACUUUUAAAGUACAAAGAAUGAACUUAUUGAAAUACAAGAACUAACAACAUAUUUUAAAAUAUUACUAGUAAAUUAUAUAUCUACAACAAGAAUUGUAACCUCUUAUAUUAUAUUCUUGUAUCUAUUUUUGCAUCUUUCAUUAUAAUAUGAUUUAUUAAUAUUAAUAUUUUUAUAGAAUAAUAUACUUUAAAUAAUUUUUGUAUCAUUUAUAAAAAUUAUAAUAAACUUACAAAAUAAUUUAAUGAUAUUUAAUUAUUAACCGAAUAAAAUGAUAUCAUAUAUAUUCUGUAUAUAUUAAGAUUUCGAAUCAUUAAUUAUAUAUCUACACAUUAUAAUAAAUUCAUCUUUCAAAAUUUUCCUUCUAAUUAAAGCAUAAAUUAUAUUUAUAAUAUUAUAAAUAUAUUAUAUCAUAAAUAUUCUUUCAAAUAUUUUUUAAUGUUUAAUAAUAAGUUAAUCUAUAAAAUAUUCUUUUAGUAAAUUAACGUGAUGAGAUCGUUAGGUGCUUGGAUUUGGUGAAGAGGGAUGAAGAGAAAAGGGAUGGAAGUGAAUAAAAAUGUUGAGAAAUGGAAAGGGUUAGCGAGGGAAGCCGCCAUGAAAGGUGGUUCAAUGGAUAUAAACCUUCAAGCUUUUGUGGACGACGUUACUGAAGGUUGUUGCAAGUAAAUUUAAAAAAAAAAUUUAAAUUAUUUUUUUGUUAAAAAACAUUUUUUAUUUUUUAUGUGGCCCCAUAUGGAGUUGUUCUAAUCGCUGAAUGAUAGGUGGUAUUAUACCACCACUCAGCCAAUGGUAGCCAAGACACCCAUGUUGAUGGCUUUUCACCCACCAUACACUGUAGGUAACCUCCAAACACUUGUUCAAAAUUUCAGUCUGGCCAUCUGUUUAAGGGUGGUAAGAUGUUGACUUCUUCAGCUUGCUGCCCAUUUACUUAAACAAUUCCUUCCAAAAUUGACUCAAGAAGAUUUUUUCCUGAUCAGAAACAAUAGAGUUAGGAAUCCCAUGGAGUUUGUAUAGGUGGGUUAGGUACUCCUAAGCCACAGUAAGAGUAGUGAAAGGAUGAGCCAAUGCCACAAAGUGACCAUAUUAGGUCAAACAGUCAACCACGACAAAAUCUGUUGAUUUCCCUUGUGAUAGUGGCAGUCCUUUGACAAAAUCCAUACUAAUAUCUAUCCAAGCUCGUUCAGGAAUCGGUAAUGGUUGCAACAGACUAGGCGAGGCCGCAUUAUCGGGUUUGCAAUGCUGACAAAUAAUACAUUCUCGGACCCACUGUUUGAUGUCUGUAGAAAGUCCUUUCUAAUAAAACAAAGCAACUACCCAUUGGUGAGUGGCAUGAACCCCCGAAUGGCCACCCAUAGGAGUAUCAUGAAAAAUCCUAAAAAUAUGCUUACGUAGUGAAAUAUCAUCACCAACUACCACUUUGCCCCUCCUGCGCAAAUAGUUACCAUGCCAUGAGUAUUUUGAAUGUAAAUGUGGCUGAGUACGUACCUGAGUACUCAACCUAGAGAGCUUCUUAUCAAUUCCAUAUAUGGCUAUAAUUUGCUCCCAAACUUUUGACCUGACCAAAUCUGUACUCUCCUCACACUGAAGCAACUAACCUAUAGAGUCAAUGGGUUUCCUGGACAGUGCAUCUACAACAGCAUUUUAAGUCCCUUUGCAAUAAACAAUUGAAUAGUCAUAACCCAACAUUUUUGCCACCUAUUUCUGCUGAUAAGGAGUGAUGAAUUGUUGUUCAGACAAAAACUUCAAACUUUGAUGGUCUGUUUUAAUGAUAAAGUGUCUACCCACAAGGUAGGAGUGCCACUUCUUGACUGCCAACAACAUUGCCAUUAUUUCCUUAUCAUAGAUGGACAAGGCUUGGUUUUUAACUCCCAAUGACUUGCUAAAAAAGGCCACUGGUUUCCCAUUCUGUUGAAGAACUACCCCAACUCCCUGACCACUAGCGUCUAUUUUCACACAACAUAGCUCUUGAAAGUUUGGUAAGGUCAACACUGGAGCUUACCAAAUGGCUGUUUUGAGCUGCGCAAAAGCUGUUUGUUCUUGUUCUGCCUAAUGCUAGGAGACCUCCUUCCGUAAUAAGGCAGUAAGAGGUUUAGCCAUCAUCUCAUAUCCAUGUAUAAAUCACCUAUAUUACCUUGAUAACCUAAGAAACCCUCGUAAUUCCUUGACUAAACGAGGAGGAGGCCAGUCUAAAACAUUAUCGAGCUUAACUCGAUCCAUGCAAAUAGUACCUUGAGGGAUCACAUGUCCCAAGUACUCCACGUGUGUGGCUCCAAAAACACACUUGGACUUCUUAGCAUACAGUUGGUUUGUCCGUAACACUUGUAAAACCUCAUGCAAAUGACUUAAAUGAUCAGACCAACCUCGAAAGUACACAAGGAUAUCAUCAAAAAAUACAAUAACUGACAUUCUCAACAUGGAUCGAAAAUUUGAGUUUAUCAACGACUGAAAGCUUGAAAGGGCAUUGGUCAAGCCAAAUGGCAUGACCAAAAAUUCAUAAUGUCCCUCAUGGGUUUUGAAAGUUGUCUUGAAGAUACCUUGCUCACACAUACGAAUUUGAUGUUAUCCAGAACUUAAAUCCAGCUUAGAAAAAUAUUGAGCUUGCCCCAAUUCAUCCAGCAACUCUUUGAUAAUGAGAAUAGGGAACCUGUCCUUGACUGUUAACUAAUUAAGUUGCCUAUAGUCGAUACAGAGUCAACAACUUCCAUCCUUCUUCUUGACCAUGACCACUGGGAAGCAAAAUGACUAUUACUAUCCCGAAUAAUUCCAGCUUGCAACAUUUCCUAGACUAUCUUUUCUAUCUUAGUCUUUUGGACAGCCAAAUAUCUGUAAGCUCUCACUUUGACCACCUUAGAUUCGUCCACCAAGUGCAUUUUAUGGUCGUGUAAUCGAGGAGGGGGUAAAUGUGUAGGGACCUGAAAGAUAUCAUCAAAGUCAGGCAAAAGUCUUUGCAAGUUUGGUGGUAGCUCAGUUGAUUGCAUUGUGAGAAUAGUUUGAUCAUAGGAAGCCAGUAGCAUCGGACAUGGUCCAUUGCCCACCAAACUCAUACACUUAGAAAAUUCUCCACUAGGAUCAAUAUGCACUAAACCUGGUAUUGUACCUCUCAGCAUACAAGUCUAAUCCCCAUACUUGAAUUGCAUAGUUAAAUUGGAGAAGUCCCACACAAUUGGCCCCAACAAUAGCAACCAUUGAACACCAAGUACUAGGCCGAAUCCUUUUAUAGAUAACACUAAAAAGUUUGUAGUGCAUUUGUACCCCUAUGCCUCCCACAUUACAGCUCUGGAUAACCCCUGAGUAUAUUGUCUGACUACAUUGGCUACCAACACCCGCAAGCUUGGCUCGGGUUCAAUGGUCAAUUUCAGUCUUCUCGCCACCUUUAAGUCAAUGAAAUUAUGCGUGGUACCUGAGUCAACUAGGACCACCACUUGAGAUUGGUUAGUAACCGCUGGAAAUCUCAUAGUGGUAUGACCCUGUAAUCCUUGCAGCGCUCGUAAUGACAACACAGGUGUCGAAUUCCCUGGUAACACUUUUGUCGGUUCCAAUUGCUCGGUACAGUCCUGAAAUUCGUCAAGAGAAGGGCUCAUUGCUUCAGUUUCAAUAUCUCAUGAUGAUUCAACAAUCCACUGAUGCAUUUGGUAUUUCAAGCAUUUAUGGCUUGGUGACUAUUUUAGACCGUACCAAAAAUAAUGGCCUUUUUCCCUCCUAUCUUCUAAUUCCGUCUGAGACAAAGACUUAGAAGUAAUUCGAGAGCUUAAUUUCCCAUUCACUGUCUCACUCGCAAAACCAACACUACCACCUCCUUGUUGACCUCUAGGCAUGGGAAAUAAGGGCCGCACUAAGUUAGAUCCGUUGUUAAGAGUGCCUUCUUUUUUGAUCGGUCCAGCCACAAUAUUCUCCACUUGCCUUGCUGAAUGGUACCUUUCCACCAAUGUUUGAGGUUUAAACAACCUAAGAUAUUGGCCUAUUUUGGGUUUGAGGUUGCUAAGAAACCUCCCAAGACAGUUGAUCUAGGAACGAGUCUGCUUGAGAGACACUAACUCUGCCAUAGGAUCUAGGAACGAGUCUGACCCAAAACGUUCUCUAAGGCACCUCGAAUAAACCUCCCAAGACAGUUGAUGUACCCCCAUGCCUUCGCACAAAAAAAUGGUGCCAGUCAAGUGCCUUACCUUUGAGGUGUAGCAUGACUAUCUGGAUCUUUGAAUGGUCACCAAUUCCUUCUGCCUCAAAAUACUGUUCAAGCUUGGACCACUAACCAUAAAAAUGCUUACCAUUAAAAUGCGAACUGCCAACCCGAAAAGAGGAUCGUUCAGACUCCAUCAUAACUGCUCGUGAAGAUAUGCUUGAAUGGCUGAGAUCCACCAUUGGGGACACUAUUAAGUGUCCCUGAGUUCGAAACCCAAGUGGUGACCCCAAAACCCUUUUGCCCUUGCUGUUCACUGUAUUUCCUACAGUUGUUGGCUGUCCUUGUCCAAAAUACCGCUCGAACAAAGAAUGAAGCUCAGGACAGAGCUCUAAAUGUACCUCUGACUUGAUCUCUGCCUAAAGGUCUUUUAGUCGAGUGUCUAUCUGUGCAUCCAACUGAGACAACUCCAAUUGCAUGUGAGAAAGCUCACCUUGAAUCUACCCAAUUUCCUUCUACAUUCUAGUGGUUAUACCGUCACCAAUCAUGAGGAUCGGAAAGGUCUGAUACCUUUGUUAUGGCUUGGAUCUGGAGGAGACGAAGCAACAGAAACAGAAAAGAAAAUUUGAGAAGAAGGGAACUAGAGAGAAAUUUGAGAGAGAGACUGAGAAGUAAACAGUUAUCAAAUUCAUAUCUUUCUUCAGUUAGUUACAGACAAUAUAAUAACCCAGUAAUAGCAAUUCUUCUGACUAGCCAAAACGCACCCGUUUCAACUAGACGAAACUCAUCGUUUCAUUAACUCAUACGUAAAACGCAAUGUUUAACUAAUUAAUUUUUAACAGUCUUUAAGUAAAAUAUAAAAGGAAAAAUGAUCGUUGUUUAAAACCAUAACACAUUUAUUUUGUAGGUACAGUCAGUUGGAGGCGAAGAUACACGUGUGGGGAGAGCAGAGGCGCGUGGCGUGCGUGGGAGGGCCUGGUUCCAGCUGCGGCGCAGUCUAGUUAGGGUUUCCAAUUUUUUUGGGUUAUUGGGCUAGGGUGUAUUGGGCUAAUUGGUUUGUUUUGGGUCUAGGAUUGGGUUAUAUUUUGGGUUUAGGUUAUUAGGCUUUGGAUUUUGGGCCAUAAGGGCCUAUUGUAACUGGACUUUUAUGGUUUGUUUUUUAUUUGGUUUUAUUAUUUGUAUUUGUUGAAUUGGGCCCGGGCUAAAAUUAGGCCCUACAAUCGACAUGUUUUUUAGUAGGGUCGAUCAAAACCCAAUUAAAACCGAUGAUAUUGGCUUAGUUGACUCGGUCAAGUCUAUUAGAUUGAUAAAACCAAUUUACAUACGAUUAUUUAUUAUCAUAAAAGGUUAGUUUAAAUUUAAAGUAAUCUAAUAUGUUUAUUGAACUUCAACUAUUAAAUAAAGUAUAAGCUAAAUAUGUGUAAAUAUUCUAGAAACCAUUUCUAUAUGAUGAUAGGCUAAUUCGGAAUUAAGAUUAAUAUAUAAAAACUAGAUAGUAGGGUUAUAGUCCUCAAACUACACUUAAUUUAAUAACAUUUACAUUUUUUUUAGCNNNNNNNNNNNNNNNNNNNNNNNNNNNNNNNNNNNNNNNNNNNNNNNNNNNNNNNNNNNNNNNNNNNNNNNNNNNNNNNNNNNNNNNNNNNNNNNNNNNNAAAAAUUGGAAAAAUAUUUUAAAAUUUAAUUUUUUUUCGUAUUUUUAAUAACAUUUAUAGUUUUUUCUGUGGUUUGGUAACUUAUCAACUCGACUCUUAAUUGUAAUAAACUUUCUGACCAUUUUUGUAUUGUUAACCUAAGUCCCGUUACAACUUUCUUAAGACCUAUUGAUUGGUGUAUCAUCUCGAUUUGUUUUUAUAGUGGUGGAGAUUUGGUUUUCAAGCAAGCCUAUGAUAAUAACAUUUUUUGUUCAACUGUUGAGUACAUAGUACUUGAACCUUAAACACUUUGAGUGCUUUGAGUGAAUCUUAGUUAGGGUAUUGAUUAUUGUUAAGUUUGAAUUUCAGGUAAUUAUUGAGAUAGAGGAGACGCCUAUGUUUUUUGUGCUUUAAAAAUUUCUGCUUAGAUUGCUUUUAUUCUUUAGUGACAUGCUAGUUUCAAUUUCCAGUGCAUGAUUAUCUGUAGAUUAUUCCUAAGGCAUUGUCGGUGAAAACAAUAAAUUGAAGGAGAUUAACUUGAAUAAGGGUUGAGAAUUUUGCUUAAUGACAAACAAAUGCUUAAUUGUGGGGAUAUUUGAUAAGUGCUAAAUUGAUAUGUUUUAACCUUAUUCUUAAUGUGUUUUUGGUUGAUUAUUCGAUCUUAAUUAUGCUCCUAAUCCUUUCAAUACGUGUUUUUAUGCUUAAUAGAACAUUUGGGAGGAAAAUGAGCGAAAAAUGAGUGAAAAACAAAAAAUGGGGGAAAACAAUAGGACCCACACAGGCUGACCUAUUACACAUGUGGCAGGCCAUGCCGAUUUCGUAGAUUUACACUCUGAAUUGCAAAAAAUUUGAAUUUUAGGUUUUUUGAGCAUUUUAAGACGUAUAUAUCAGAAUUUAAUAAGAUAGGAGAGAACCUUGCUAGAAUAUUUAAGACACACCCAAGACACAACCCGACCUUAUAAAACCUCAAUCUCAUUUAAUUAUUAGUUAUUUAUUAAUGCAGAAGUAAAUUAUGAGUCAAUUUUAAAGUUUUCCUAGGUAAUUUAACCUAAGGGCAAUUUCAUCAUUUUACCACUUAUUGUAAAACUAACCUGAUUUUAGAUCUAAGUGUUUACCAUCCUUCUUUUAGUCAAAUUAUGCAAGCCUAAAAUUUUUGGCUUAAUUUGAUUUCGUUUACUUUGUCUAAUUCAAGUUUUAUUAUUAGGGACUAAAUCGUAACUUAGUCAAAUUAGAAUACCAAUUUAAAGAGACAAAAUUUCAAAAUCCCAAAACCCACAUGGGUGUGUGGGUAAGUGACAUGGGUGUGUGGAGACUGGAGCUAUCACACACAAGCGUGUGGGAUUGAAAUAUAUGAAAUAAAUUAAUCCACUCAAUUUUCCAACAACCAUGCUAUACUACCAAACCAAAUAACGCUUGAAGCUUUGAAUAGGGGCGAAUUUUUAAAAAGAAAAAUUUAGAGGAAUCAGAAUUAAAUUAUAAAAUUUUGAGAAGUUAGAAUAUAAUUUUGUCAUGUAUUAAUUUAUUAUUUUUUAAAGGGUCUUAAUAGAAAUUUUUUUUCCCAUUUUGGUUAGGCCAAUACCCCUGCCUACCUCUUUAAAUUUGCUCCAACCCUAAACCCAAUAUUUGAGUUGGAUUAACAACAAUAUAUAGGUUAGUAUUUGUGGAAGUUUGACGAAGAAAAUUUUUUUAGAGGUUUAAAUUAUAAUUUUUGGAAAGAUUAAAAUAAAUUUUUAUUUUUAAUUACCUUUCGGAUCAUACGGGUGAUUUUGAUGAUUUAAAAAUUAAAUACUUUAUAAAAUAUUUAAAACUAUUUAAAAAAUUGUAAGCCUUCAAACAAUCAACAAGAUAUAUUUUUCUCUAAAAGAUCAAUAAAAGUAUGUUUGAAAUUUUAUAUGAAUUUUUAAACUUUUUAACAAUAAUAUAUUUUAAAAUUAUAUACACCUUUCUUCACCUUUUUUAUAUAAACCUUUUUUCACCUUUUUUAUGUACACCUUUUUUAUAUUUUUUUCCUAACAUAUCAUUAUUUUCAACACUAUCGUAAUCCUUUUUUGAUAAUUCCCUUUCCAUACAUCCUUUUUCAACAUAGAAUUUCAAGAGAAAAUGUGAAUUAAUGUAGACGUGAGAAGACUUAGAGGUAAGUCACCCAAUGAAAGUGACCUAAACCGACUUAUGGAAUAAUCAAGAGUAUUAUUUUAGUCUUUGUCUUAGGUAUGAAUGAUAUCUUCUAGAUUGAAGCUAGAGCGAUUCUUAAAUGAUUGAAAUUGACUUGGAUUAAAGGAUUCAGAUGUGUUGAGAUGGAAAGUGACAGUGCAAUGUUGAUUGAAACUAUUCGUAAUGGGUUGGCCGCAGUAAGUAGUGUUGCUAAAGUAAGAUUGAUUCACGAUUGGUGUUCCAAAAAUUGGUAAGUCAAAUUAUUGACAUAUUCAGCAAAAUGCCAAUAAAGUUGUUGAUUGCAUAACUAAGGCAGAUGGAGGCGUAAUUGAGCAGCUGGUUAUCUUGAAAGAUCCUCCGCAUUAUGUGAGAUGCUAGCUUGAAGAAGAUAUUACACAGUUGCUGGUGAUUGAUGAUAGUUUUCAUUUGGACUGAUGCUCGCUUAAUUUUCUAAGCUUAUGUUCAACCAAAAAAAAAAAAGUCUAAAUUGUAAUAGAAUUAACAUUUAGUGUAUAAAAAAUAUCUUCAAAUUUUUUUUCAAUUGAAGUUUAAUUCCACAAAUAUCGAUGAUGAACCCUAAAAUGGACAUGAAAAUUACAAAAAGAAAAAGAAAAAACACAUCUAUUAUCAAACUAGCAAUCUAUGUCUAAACUUAAAUUAACAAAAUUCAUCAUGCAACCCAGUACACUAUUUUAUAUAAUAUAUAUGCUAGAUUUAUUCUAGAUGCACAUAUUUUAUUAUAUGUCUAUUACCAAAUUAGUAACCCAUCCCAAGGCUUAAACUAACAAAAUUCACCAUGCAACCGUGUAGACUAUUUUAUAUACAUAUAUACUAUAUUUAUUCUUCAUGCAAAUGUUUAUUAUAUUUAAAAAUUAAAAUAUAUGGUUGAUUGAGUUUUAGUUGAAUUAAUAUCGAUAUUGUUAUCAGUACAGAAGAACAUGAGUUCAAUCAUGUUUAAGCACGUUUUAUCUUUCAAUUUAGGAGUUGGAGAGGAUUCUCAAUAGUUAAAUUAUAUCAGUUUUUGUCUACUUAAAAAUGAUUUAUAAAUAAUAUAAGUAAAAAAAUUUUAAAAAUACAUAUUCAUAUUCAUGGGCUUUUUCAUUAUUAGACUUUUCUCCCCACAGGUAAAAGAAUUUAUGGACAGGAUGAUGUAAAAUUAUGACCUGAAUAAUUUUAAACCUUCCAUCACUGCAAAAAUGAAAUAAUAGAAAUGANNNNNNNNNNNNNNNNNNNNNNNNNNNNNNNNNNNNNNNNNNNNNNNNNNNNNNNNNNNNNNNNNNNNNNNNNNNNNNNNNNNNNNNNNNNNNNNNNNNNNNNNNNNNNNNNNNNNNNNNNNNNNNNNNNNNNNNNNNNNNNNNNNNNNNNNNNNNNNNNNNNNNNNNNNNNNNNNGGUUAUACUUUAAUUAUUGAGAACAUUUUCCACAAUUUGCCAUCAUUAUUUGUGAGUGAUUUGUGGGGUAAAAGGUUGAACACUUCUGGAUCACAUUGCGUUUAAGACGGGUCGUUGGAGUUAUGUGACACUUAAACAUAGACUGACUUUUCUAUAAUUAGUCUUUGCUUUACUUUGGGUGGAUUCGUCCAACCAGUCCAAGAAUUAUUGUAAAAUCACAAUUAAUCUUCUUAAAUGAGACUAACAUUUCAAAUUUGUCAUCACUAUUUGUGAGUGAUUUGGGGGUAAGAAGUUUAACACUUCUGGAUGACUUAAAGAAUUGUGGGUCUCUAUUUGAGCAAAACAAUUUCAACAUUUCCUCGUCUCGUUUAAUCCAAAUUCAUUUAGGAUUUUCUUAUAUCAUUUUAAUUUAUUGAUUGUUUCAAAAACGAUAAUAAAAAAUUUUCUGUUUCACAUUCAAUUUUUGGACAAGAAGAAUUUUCUAACCUAUUUUAUAUCAACUUCACUUCAAUUUUCAAUCACAAUCAAUUGCAUUCAAAAGAACCACAUAUUUUUGAAUGAAACAAAUAUUUCAAUUUUAAGAUAAACGGGUCUUUAGGGUUAUUAAUUGAGGGCCUUUUCCGCAAUUCCCAUCGUUAUUUGCUGAUUGGGUUACAACAAUCGUUUGAAGUGAAGAUAUUUCAAAAGAAGAUGAAUACUUUACUAAUAAGNNNNNNNNNNNNNNNNNNNNNNNNNNNNNNNNNNNNNNNNNNNNNNNNNNNNNNNNNNNNNNNNNNNNNNNNNNNNNNNNNNNNNNNNNNNNNNNNNNNNNNNNNNNNNNNNNNNNNNNNNNNNNNNNNNNNNNNNNNNNNNNNNNNNNNNNNNNNNNNNNNNNNNNNNNNNNNNNNNNNNNNNNNNNNNNNNNNNNNNNNNNNNNNNNNNNNNNNNNNNNNNNNNNNNNNNNNNNNNNNNNNNNNNNNNNNNNNNNNNNNNNNNNNNNNNNNNNNNNNNNNNNNNNNNNNNNNNNNNNNNNNNNNNNNNNNNNNNNNNNNNNNNNNNNNNNNNNNNNNNNNNNNNNNNNNNNNNNNNNNNNNNNNNNNNNNNNNNNNNNNNNNNNNNNNNNNNNNNNNNNNNNNNNNNNNNNNNNNNNNNNNNNNNNNNNNNNNNNNNNNNNNNNNNNNNNNNNNNNNNNNNNNNNNNNNNNNNNNNNNNNNNNNNNNNNNNNNNNNNNNNNCUUCUCUUAUGCUCCUUCCAGCUUCUUGCUUUUUGUGUGCUGAAAAUUCAAAGGAACAAAAUAUCAACCUACAUCAUAAGGCACGAAGGCCAGAACUUUAAUUUCUAGCCCGUCCGAUCCAAUGAAAGAAGAACAAAGAGUCUUGAGAUCUGACAACUUUAUUUCAUCUUCAUUUUCUCUGUUAUUUUCUAUGUUUCUUGUCAAAUACAAUGAAAGAAGAACAUAGAAAAAUGUUGCCUAUUUAUUUCCCAAUCAUCAUGAAAUUACUUGCCAUAGACUUAGAAUUUUCUCACCAAUUUUCAAGCAAUCUGACAUGAUUUCUCAAUCACAAAUAAUUGAAUUCAAGAUCUUUUUGGAUGACACAAACAUUUCAAUUUUAACACAAACCAAUAUUUAGGUUAUACUUCAGUGCUUGACAAGCACUUUCACAUUUGUGGGAUAAGAACCCUAGCAUUUUAGGAUCACAUUUAAUUCAAUUGCAUUUAAGACCUCAUGAUUUUAUUCUAUAAUUUCAGUCUUUUCAACCUUUUGGGAAAUAAUAAAAUAUCGACAUUAAACUUCUUGUUGAUGCAUUCAAUUUGAUUUUUUGAGGGGUCGUUGGAGUUAUACGUGACUUUAGCAUUGAUUGACUUUUUUAGAAUUAAUCUUUUAUACCAAUUUAAUAACAUCGACAUGCUGUAAUACCCAAUUUUGCCCCAGGCCUAUAUACUAAUAGAGUAAAACAAAAAAACAGUCCAUUUACAAAUAAAAUAAAUCCAAACCCAAUUGGCCCAAAUACAAAAAACCCUAGUGGCCCAAUAUGACCCAAAAAUUAAACAUUUUUCAGCAGCAAAAAAGGAAGGAAAACCCUAGCUGCCGCCGCCCUAACGGCAGCCAAGUCCUCCUCCGCGCAUGCCAAGCCCCCACGCGCGUGCGCCUCCUCUACAGCCUUCGUACCUGCGGAAAAAGUGGAUCCAAAUAGCAAGCAAACCGCAAAAAUCGCUAACAAUAGCGAGGCAACAGCAAAUAGGAUAGCAGAAAAAAUGGGAUAACAGACGAGAUUUUUGGGGAUUCAUUUUCUUUUAUUUUGUAUUUUCGGCUAUAAAAAGAGCCGAUUGAUUCAUUGUACUGGGGGGGAAGAAAAAAAUAAUCGAAAACAGAAAAAAAUUCCGAAGGUUUACUUCUACUUUCAUUUUAAUGUUUUAUUUUUAUUUUUUAUUUUUAUUCUAACUUUUUUUUUACAUACGAAAUAUAUAUAAAAAAAGGAGGAAAAAACUUACCCUUGAUUUCACCGAAAAAAAGGAGACUUUUGGCCUUCCGGCCGCAGUGGACGGCGGCGCCUUCACUGGCAAACGGCAGCCAACUCGGCAGUAGCUUAUCGGAGGAUGGCCGGCGUCUGGAGAAGUUGAGAGAGAAUUGAGAGUGUUUUUUCUAUUUUUUUUUUGAAGAGAAGAGAAAAUGAGUUUUUUUGUAAAAAAUUUGGCUUAUAUAAAGGUUCAAAACGGCGUCGUUUUGAGCUAGGAUUCCAAUAUCCCAAAACGGCAUCGUUUUGAGGCCGACCCACGCACCGACUCGAUCCGGUCCUAGAUCCGCGUGUUUUAUAGCGUGUGGGAAGUUUGUGGAAAUGAUCCCCUCAUUUUUAUAUCGCGUUUAGAUUGAUCCUUUUGCUUUCUUUAAAUUUAGCCACGCAUUUUAUUUUUAUUUCAAUUUCGUCCGUGCAAGACGCAGCGUUUUGGAUGGCAGGGAUUAUUUUCCCCUUUAGUCCUUCCCUGUUAUUCGCUCAUUCAGUGAAGUCCCUUUCUUUCCAUUUAUUUUCAGAUUUGCCUCAAACUUUUGUUUUUAAGCUUAAUUUAAUCCUUUUUUGUUAUUUGUGCUAUUUUAUUUUUUUUAGUUUAUUAUUAUUAUUAUUAUUAUUAUUGUUGUUGUUGUUGUUGUUAUUAGUAUUAUUACUAUUAUUAUUAUUAUUAUUAUUUUAUUUUUGUUUAUAUUUAUUUACCUAACUUUUUUUUUGUAUUAUGUACUUUUAUUUUAAGGGGUUUUUAUUAUUAUCAUCAUUUCAUUUUUUUUAUGUUAAUCCAAUAGAUUUUUUUUACUGGUUUUAUUUUGUAAAACAUAAUUUAUAUCAAAUUAUUUUCAUUUUGUAUGUUAUGGAUUUCAUAUUAUUAAAGCCAUUAAUUUUAAGUUCUUUCUUUAACAUAUUUGUAUAUAUAUAUUUGUUUAAAUCUAUCUUUAUAAAUAUCUAAUUUAUUUCUUUUAUAUAUUUCGUUAAUUUUAACUUUUAAAUAUAGUAUUAUAUAUAUUAUAAUUUAUAUUAAGUUUCCACUCCAUAUGUAUUAUUUUAAAAAAAAUUAAUAUAUGUAUAUUAUGUUAUGUAUUUUGAUUCUCUUUCUACAAUAUUUACUUUAAAAUGCAUUUCGAUACUUUUAUUUUAAGUAGUUUUUUUUUCUGAUUUAUUUCGAAUUUACAUAUAUGUAAAUACUAUUUGUUUUAAAACAUAAUUUAUUGAUUAUAAUUUCUUCUCUUGUUAUUAAUUUUUAAGUUUUUUUUUAAUUUGAUUAUUAAUUCAUUAAAUUUUUGAAUAUUGAUAUUGAUAUUGGCAUAAUGUAUGAUUGAGAUAAUUGUUGCUAUGCUUGUCUGUAUUUAUCUAUUGAUUAUUUGUUAUUCAUUGGUGUAUAUUAUUUACAAAUUAUCCUUUACGUUGUACGUUAUCAUUCACUCACAUUUUAUUUCAUUUAGAAGGUUGCAUUUGAUUAAAAUAUCGAAAUCAUUUUAUCCACAAGUUUUCAAAAUAUUCGGUAUCCAAGAUUCUCGAGAAGAUUGUGCCCUAACUUACUGGACUUCAAUUUUCCUUGUUGAAUUUAAAUAAACGAGUAUUUCUUUUUCAAUUAAAGCAUAAAAAUUCCAAAUCAAAGCUUAUCUCGACGAUUCAAAACUUUGUGUCCUAGCUCAUUCGAUAUGGCAUUUGGUUAUCUCGAGACGUGGUUUUUAAAUAAAAUCAAAUUCAUGUGUAGUCUUUGGAACUUCAAAGGAUCGUACCCUAACUUACGGCGGCCGAAAGGCCAAAAGUCUCCUUUUUUUUCCGGUGAAAUCAAGGGUAAGUUUUUUCCUCUUUUUUUUUAUAUUUCGUAUGUAAAAAAAUUAGAAUAAAAAUAAAAAUAAAAGAUUAAAAUGAAAGUAGAAGUAAACCUUCGGAAAUUUUUUUCUGUUUUUGAUUUAUUUUUUCUUUUUUUUCCCCCAAUACAAUGAAUCAAUUGGCUCUUUUUAUAGCCGAAAAUACAAAAUAAAAGAAAAUGAAUCCCCAAAAAUCUCGUCUGUUAUCCCAUUUUUUCUGUUAUCCUAUUUGCUAUUGCCUUGCUAUUGUUAGCGAUUUUUGUGGUUUGCUUGCUAUUUGGAUCCGCCUUUUUCGCAGGUACGGAGGCCGUGGAGGAGGCGCACGCGCGCGGGGGCUUGGCAUGCACGGAGGAGGACUUGGCUGCCCUUAGGGCGGCUACAGCUAGGGUUUUCCUUCCCUUUUUGCUGCUAAAAAUGUUUGAUUUUUAGGUCAUAUUGGGCCACUAGGAUUUUUUGUAUUUGGGCUAAUCGGGUUUGGAUUUAUUUUAUUUAUAAAUGGACUGUUUUUUUUGUUUUACUCUAUUAGUGUAUGGGCCUGGGGCAAAAUUGGGUAUUACACAUGUUUUUGGGUAGGGUCGAGCAAAACCCAAUUAAAACCGAUGAUAUUGGUUUAGUUGACUCGGUCAGGUCCAUUAGAUGGAUAAAAUCAAUUUUAAAAUCAGUUAUAAUGGAUUGAGGUAAUUAAUUAUCGAGUAAUGAAAUACAUAAUCAAAUCAAUUGAUUUUGUUAGAAACUACAAGAAAAUGGGAUAAGCUGAAAACUGAUUGCCCUUUAUUAAAAUUAAGGAAUCCGCCUUUUACAUGUUAGAUAAUAUGAACAUCCUAUAUAUAAUAAGAAAAAUUACGUACGAUUAUUUAUUAUUAUAAAUAGUUAGUUUAAAUUUAAAGUAAUCUAAUAUGUUUAUUGAACUUCAAGUAUUAAAUAAAGUAUAAGUUAAAUAUGUAUAAAUAUUCUAGAAAUCAUUUCUAAUUGAUGAUAGGCUAAUUCGGAAUUAAGAUUAAUAUAUAAAAACUAGGUAGUAAAGUUAUAGUCCUCAAACUACACCUCAUUUGAUUUUUCCGACAUUCUAUUUUUGAAAAAAGAAUCACCUUCUUUAAAAAAAAAAUAUGUACUAAUUUGAAAAAUUAAAACUAUCAUAUAUAUUAAUAAGUACCAACUAAGCAAUACUUAAAUAUAGGUGUGUUUUAUAAAAAAAAAAUUAUCAACUUAAAGAAGUUGCAACAAAAAUUUAAAAUUCAUUUAUCAAAUGAAUAUUUAAAACUUAUAAUCUAAACUGUGACAUGAUAAAAUACAUGAGCAUAACUUGGAUUUACCAAAAAUCUAUGUACUUUUCUAAAACUUAAAUUUUAGUCCCUGUACUUUAAUUUAGAGACAUUAAGUAACUAUACUUUUUUAUUUAAAAAUUUUGGUCCCUUCAUCAAUUUUAUCAUUAUAAUUGUUGAUUUAGUUGUUAUAAAAAAAGGUAGAAUAACUUUUUUAGCCUUAAACAUUUAUAGUUUCUGUUAAUUUGGUCCUUACUCUUUAAAAUUACAUAAAAAUGCAAAAACAUUUUAAAAAUUAAAUUUUUUUUUGUAUUUUUAAAAACAUUUAUAGUUUUUCAUUUUUGUGGUUUGGUAACUUAUCAACUCGACUCUUAAUUGUAACCAACUUUUCUGGCCUUUUUCGUACCCUUAACCUAACUCCCGUUACAAAUUUCUAAAGACCUCUUUAUUGGUGUACCGUCUCGAUUUGUUUUUAUAAUGGUGGAGAUUUGGUUUUUAAGCAAGCCUAUGAUAAUCACAUUUUUUGUUCAACUGUUGAGCACACAGUUUUGAACCUUAAACACUUAAAGUGCUUUGAGUGAAUCUUACUUAGGAUAUUGAUUAUUGUUGAGUUUGAAUUUCAUGUAAUUAUUGAGAUAGAGGAGACGCCUAUGUUUUUUGUGCUUUACAAAUUUCUGCUUAGAUUUCUUUUAUUAUUUAGUGUCAUGCUAGUUUCAAUUUCCUGUGCAUGAUUAUCUAUAUAUUAUUCCUAAGGAAUUGUCGGUGAAAACAAUAAAUUAAGGGAGAUUAACUUGAAUAAGGGUUGAGAAUUUUGCUUAAGGACAAAUAAAUGCUUAAGUGUGGGGGAUAUUUGAUAAGUGCUAAAAUUGAUAUGUUUUAACAUCAUUCUUAAUGUGUUUUUGGUUGAUUAUUAGAUGUUAAUUAUGCUCCUAAUCCUUUCAAUUCGUGUUUUUAUGCUUAAUAGAACAUUUGGGAGGAAAAUGAGUGAAAAUAAAAAAAUGGGGGCAAACUAUAGGAUGCGGGCUGACCUAUUCCAUAUAACCGUGUGACCCACACAGUUAUGUGGCAGGCCGUGUCGAUUUCGUAGAUUUUCCCUUUGAAUUGCGAAAAAAAUGCAAUUUUAGGUUUUCCGAGCAUUUUAAUAGUAUAUAUGGAAAAAAAUAAGAAGAUAGGAGAGAACCUUUCUAGAAUAUUUAAGAAAACAAUUCCAAAGACGCCAUUGAAGCCGACUCUGAAACAGAUUUUCAUCAAGAUUGAAGAUUCCCAGUUGAUUUCUUAAGAGAUUAUGAUGAGUUUCUUUAUUUCUUUUGGUUAUACUGCCCUUUGGAUGUUUUUAUUUUUAAGCAUGAACUAAUUUUCUAAAUACCUAAGAGAGAUGAACCUACGAUAGAUUGUGACACCCCAAACCCGAUCGGGAUAGACCGGCCUGAAUUCGAAGCAUUACAUAAGCCACAUAAGUGACUCUCCAGCUAACGACCACCCAAGACACACCCCUACCUCAUAACACCUCAAUCUUAUCUAAUUAUUAGCUAUUUAUUAAUGCAGAAGUAAAUUAUAAGCCAAUUUCAAACUUUUCCUAGGUAAUUUAACCUAAGGGUAAUUUUGUCAUUUUACCACGUAUUGUAAAACUAACUCGAUUAUAGAUCUAAGUGCUUACCAACCUUCUUUUAGUCAAAUUAUGCAACCUUCUUUUAGAUUUAAUAUUUGUUAAUAUCAUCUAUAUAAUCACAUGUUCGAAUUACUAAUGUUCAACAAAGCCAAAUUUCACGUACUUCAUCCAUAUUAAUGUUCGAACCACAUAACCCUGAUAUUAAUGGCAUUUGUAUACUUAAGCCAUAUCCCAACAUAUUUCAUUACAUUUCAUACAUUGAAAAUAUGUCAUCAUAUUUAUUUCAUUAAUUGAAUAUUAAACAUAACAUUUCAUAACUUCUGCACUAGCACCUAAUAAAACCAAUCAAACCAUAAUACAAUAAUAUGAUGCAAUCGCAUAUAUGCGACUUUCGUAACAUUACGACAUAGCCGAACAUGCUAGUGAUGCAUAUACAUGUAUAGUGCGCAAAAACAUUAAUCAACUGAACACAAAUAAUAUUCCCUUGCACACCUAAUUCGCAUGUAUAUAUAGAUUGUUAUACCUAGCUUCAUAUUUUAUCCUAUUAACUAAUCAUUGAAUCGAUCACACCAUGAUAAAGGUCAUAAGCUUACCAAAAUGAACCACAUAUCAAAUCUGAAUUUACAAGCACCCACAUGCGCAUACCUAUAAUAAUACUAAAAUCAACUUGAUACUUUUAACUACCCAUUAAAAGUUAACCAAAACAUGCCUAAUUCAUAAACAUCUUUUAUCAUUUGGAUCCAUACCAAAACAAUCAACCAAAACAAUUAUGAAACAUGUUCAUUUACUAUUUAACAACCGAACUUACAUGACUAAACAUUCAAGCAUAAUAUAUGUAUAUGCUUGUCACCACAACCAAUCAAAUCAACCAAACCACAAUUGAUCAUAAAACAUUUCCAUAAUUUGCCAUCACCAAUCAAAAUAAUGACAUAACCAUUACUUAACCUACGUUUCAUAUACCAUAAACACACUUUCAAAAAUAAGCUAAAUUCAUGGCCGAUUGUAAACCAAUCUUUUCAUCGCCCAAUACCGAAUCAUUUAUCAAAACAUCACAAGUAUAUAUAUAUAUCAUGACUGAAAAUGCAUAUACGUAAGCAUCGUCCCUAGCCAUUUUCGCAUGGCUUUAUAUACAAUUUCAAAAUUAACCAAAACAAAUAAUUGUCUAUACAUGCCAUAGGUUUAUAAUUCAAGCCUUAAAAAUACCGAAAUAAUGGUCGAUAGUGCGGCGAACUUCCUUGACGAUCCCCUAGCUAAUAACUAGCUUUUCUAAAUCUAUAAAACAACGAAUAAACACCCAAAGUAAGCUUGGAAAGCUUAGUAAGUCAUAAGCAAAUAAGGUAUAAUAAAGACGAUAACAACUUAUUUUUAUUUGGCCGAAUAUAACUAAACUCAUACAUAUAUAUACGGCCACCUUUCACAAGUUGUUUCACAUAGUCACAUAAUUGCAUCAAAACUUACCUUUUCAUUCGAAUCUAAUAUAAACAUAAAACAUACCUGAAUUAUUUAAACUGAACUCAUAUUCGAUCUUGCUUAUCUCUUCCUAUUAAAACAUUCGAAAUUAUUAAGGAUAUUUGGAUAGCUCAACAGUUCGUACAAUGCCAUCGUCCCAAAAGUGGACUUACAUGUAAUCAAAUAUCGAUGCCACUACCCCAGAUAGGGUCUUACACGAAGUCAUAUACGAUGCCAAUGUCUCAGACAUGGUCUUAUACGUAAAUCUCAAGUCGAUGCCAAUGUCCUAGACAUGGUCUUACACAAAAUCACAUACCAGAAUCAUAGGGUUUGUAUGGGGCUUUUGGAUGUCGUAAUUCAAUCGAUUCAUGCUUGUAACAAAUCAUUCCAUGCAAAAUUUCAUUCGGCAAUGUAGUUAUACGUACAUACAAUUAAAAUCGGCUAUGUACAAGAUAAAUUCAUACAAUUUAACAUCAUUUAUUUACUUACAAACUUACCUCAAACAAAGACGAACGGACCGAGACGACUAUUCGAUAACUUUUGAUUUCCCUCGUUCUAAAUCCAAUUUCUUCUUUUCUUGACCUAAAUUAAUACAAAUUUGACUCGUUUAAUCAUAUAUUUAUUCAAAUUCAUCCAAAAAUAAAUAAAUGGGAAAAUUACAUUUUAUCGUCUAACAUUCCACAUUUUUCACAAUUUAGUCCCUACUUCACAAAACACAAAAUAUUCAAAAUUUUACCACACCCAAGCUUGGCCAAAUUUCACUAAGGUCCCUAACAACCCAUUUCUUUCAUUUGUUUCACAUUUUGACCCUUAAAUUUUUAAAAUUCACAAUUUAAUCCUAAUUAGGCAUUUUUACUAAAAAUUACUUAAUUAAACUUGACAAUCUAACAACAUAUAUUUAUUUUUCAUCAUCAAACAACAAAAACCACAAGGUAUCAUCAAUGGCAAAUCAUGAAUACAUCAACAAAUUCAAAAAUUCCAACAUGGGCUAGCUAGUAUUCGAAGUAACGAUCUCAAAAACGUAAAAAUUUUCAAAAGUCGAGCUAAACACAUACCUUAAUCAAGCUUGGACAAUGCCGAACCUAGCUUGUUCUUUUUAUUUCUUUUUCUUUUGUAUUUUCGGCAAGAAUGAUUAACAAAUGCAUGGUUUUAUGUUUUUGUUUUAUUUAAUUUCAUUUUAACACCUAAUUUACUAUAUUAACCUUUAUAAAAUAAUAUGAAAACCUUAUAAAUUAAGCCCAAAACUGCCCAUGCUAAAGUUCAAUGGCUAAAUUACAACAUAAGGGCCCUACAUAAUAAAAGCCAUAGCAAUAUAGCACUUUAAAAAUUAGCUAGCCACUUUUGUAUUUUACGCGAUUAAGUCUUUUUUUUUAAAUCGAGUACACAAACGACAAAAUUUUCACACAUAUAAAUUAACAUGCUGUAGACACCAAAAAUAAUAUUGUUACAGACCCAUUUUGCCCCAAGGCCCAUUACAAAGUAAAUACCCAAAGCCCAUCUAAACCUAACGCAGACCCGAAGCCCACUUAGCCCAGGCCCGAUUUUAAAAAACUGAAACCCUAGGCGUCGCCCCUUGACUUUUGGCCUCCUGCCAUCGCCGCCACCGCCGCUGGACGUCCCAUCCGCGUCCAUCACCACCACCCAUCCACUUGCACCGUCACCUGCAAAGAAGAGAAACAAACAAAGGAAAAGACAACACAAACAGUGGCAAAGAUCGGCUAUAAAAGCCAACAAAAUGUAACCUUUCUUUUUUUCGGGUACUCUUUGUAACAAAACAGAGAUUAGCAAAAAGAAAUAAAAUACAAACUAAGUUUUAAGGUGCUUUCGAGUACUCUUCUUCAUUUUUUAUUUUAUUUCUUAUCUUUUUUUGUUUAUUUAUAUAUGUAAAAUAAAGAAAAGGAAAAAGAAAAAAACUCACCUGAUUCAUUUUUUGGUUGCGCCGCCGUUGGGAUCUACCCAUCGUUGAAAUCAGCCUCGAAAGGAUGAGUUAGAGGGUCUCUCCUUUGGAUCUUUCGGCUAAACGAGUCUAGCCUUUAAUUAGGCCUUGGAUCGGGGACUAAAUUGCCCUUUUACGCAACGCCAACCACCACGCAUGAUGGCGCUACAGCGGCACUGUGUGGGCUCAAAGUUCGGGCGUUUGAGAGGGGGAGGAGAAAGGUUUUCUUUUUUUUUUUGAUUUGUUUUUUUUUAAAAAAAGAAGUGAGAUGCUGAAUUUUUUUGAAAGAGUUUGGGUUUAAAUAACCCCCUAAAACGGUGCCGUUUGGGCUUAGGGUUCAGAGACCAAAAAAGGCGUCGUUUUGGUCUCUGACCCGCGCGGUGAACCGACCCGAGGGGAGGAUCCGCGUGUUUCUGACUCUUGGGUUAUUUGUGCAAUUAGUCCCUUUGAUUCUGUAGCGAUUUCAUGGAAGUCUUUCACAUAUUUGCAAUGUGGCCACAAAAUUUUAUUUUUGUCUCAAUUCGGUGCAUUACUACACAGCGUUUUGGGGCUUUGGUUUAUUUACCCUGUUAGUCCCCCCUCUUUCAGCAUGCGUUACGAUUUAGUCCCUCUUGUCCUUUUUUUAUUUUUGAUUUUGCCCCGUAUUUUCGUUUUUAUUUCGAUUUAGUCCAUAUUUUAGCAAUUUUAUUAUUUAGUUAUUAUUAUUAUUAUUAUUAUUAUUAUUAUCUUAACUAUUAUUAUUAUUAUAUUUAUUAACAUUAUUGUUAUUAUUAUGUCUUUUUUUUUUUAUAUUCACUUAUGAAACUUUUAGAUAUAUUUGUUUUAAUAUAUUAUUAUCAUGAUUGUUUUUAUAUACAUAUACGUAUAUAUAUAUUUUUCUAACUUAUUUAAUAUAUAAAUACUCAAUUUUAUAUACAUACCUAUAUAUAUAUGUUUUUAUAUAUUAAAAUAUGUAUAUUAUUUAUAUAUUUUAUUUUAUUUUAUUAUAUUUUAUAAUCCAUAUAUGUAUAUAUUUUCAUCUACAUACAUAUGUUCUUAUGUUUUGUAAUAUUUAUGUAUUCCUUUCUUAAUAUAUAUAUGUACAUAUUUUAACCUUUGUAAACACAUAUACAUAUACACGCAUAUUUUAAUUUAUGUCCAUAUAUAUCUCUUUACAUUUAAUUGUAUUUACUACUUAUUUAUUUCAUUUUCUUUAUUAUUUUGAAUGAAUGUUUUAAUUUAUUUGUUUAUAUACAUUGUUAUUUUAUACGAUUGUAGGUAUGACUUUUAUUUAUUUUAUAUUGUUGCUAUUACUCGUAUCAUUUUUAUACUUUUGUGUGUGUAUUAUGAUUUUACCACGCAUAACAACAAUGUAAUUUGUUUUCACAUUUUACUACGAUUUUCGUGUUUUAUUUUACUCGAUAUAACAAAAAUUAGUUUUAAAAAAAUAAUAAAAUAAAAUUUCGUGUUUAGAUUCGAGAGGAUCAUACCCUAACUUACUGGGUUUCGAUUUUCAUAAUAAAUCUAAAUAUACGAAUCUUUUCAAACUCAAGUUUUUAAACGAUCUCGGGAAUUAAGAAAAGAUCGUGUCCUAACUUACUGGGCAUGAUUCAUUUUUUAAACCCGAGAUAAUAAAAUAUCUUUUAAAUGAGUAAAUUUUCAGCAUUCGUUCGCGUAUCGGGAAUUUGAGAUAUUGUGUCCUAACUUACUGGAUGUGAUUCUCUUUCUUGAUUAACGUGAAAUAUGCCCAUUUUCCCAAAAUUUUUAACAUUUUAAUACAAGGAUCGUAUUUUUAAAAUUCUUUAAAGUUUUCAAUUUUCGAUAUCAAGACAUUAGCUAAUCAACUAGGUACCAAUUUCUGGGCGUUACGAGGGUGCUAAUCCUUCCUCGUACUUAACCGACUCCCGAACCCGAUUUCUGAAUUUCGUGGGCCAAAAUUGUUGUUUUAAUAAAAUCAAACCGUUUAUUAAAAACCACUUUUCGAGGUGAUCCAAUCACACCUCAUAAAAAGGGAUUGGUGGCGACUCCCCUUUCAUUUUUUCAAAACCCAAGUCAACCCCGUUUUUCAUCAAAAAAAUGGUGUCAACAGCUUGGCGACUCCGCUGGGGACAUCGAAUAAGUGAGUCGAGCCACGAUGUGAUUAUUUUUUGUCUUUUUUUCAAAAAUUAAAAACUUGGUUUAAAGUUACGAUCCUUGCACUGCACUUCAUUCAUCCUUAUUACGAUUUUCAUCGUUGUGGUUUAUGAUUGUUAUGUUUCGGUAUCUUUUUGCAUUGCAUUGCAUGAUCGUUGGUCACACCGUUUUAAGUGGGAGUGAGAAACUACGCCUUCGUGAGGUUUUCACCUCCGCAUAGGAUAGUGAAUCGCUUUCGGGAUACAUCUGUACCUAUGUCUUUGUGAGGUUUUCAUCUCCGUAUGGCCAUAGGGAAAUGUAUUCCCCUGAACUGAACUCGAUCAAUAUGAGCCUAUAAUGGGUGAGGAUCGAGGAAUCUGCCGGUUUGGGUACCUUUACUCUAGAACUAAACCACAUAUAGUGAGCCAUAGGAACCGACCUAGAUGGAACUACGCCAAACCUUAAGUGCUUACCCAAAUGGCUGCUUUAUUUAUUGUCAUUUACUCUAGAUCUUGUUCUGUGUUUAAUACUGAUUUGUUUGUUUCUGAUUGCAUGGCAUUUUCAUUCUAAAAGAGCUGUUGAUUCACGUUCAGUAUCUAGAUAGAAAGCUUAUCAUGGAAAAGGGGUUUUUUGAUAAAGUAGAAGAUAAUGCGGCUGUGUGAAUAUGGGCUAAGACGAUGCAACGGGAGAAAGGAUAUAGUCUUACCGAGGGGCAUAUGUCAGAAUUGUGGGAUUUCACCCGUAUUAGUGUAAUCUAGAAUGAUCUUCGAGAAAUGAAAGAAAUUUGGGAUCAAUGGGAUAACAAGACCAAACAGUUGUUCUAUUGUAACUACGGUGACCUACCUUAUCUGCUCAGUAUCAAAGUGGACAAGUAUUUAUUUCGAGCCCUUGCUCAAUUUUAGAAUCCUGCCUACAGUUGUUUCACCUUUGGAAAAGUGGACUUGACGCCUACUGUGGAGGAGUAUAUGACCUUGCUUCGGUGCCUAAAGAUUCAAGUCGACAAGGCUUAUUCUAGAGCUGCUGGUGCCCUUCCGUUGUUAAAGAAAUUAAUAAACAUCACUGGGAUGAGCGAGCGGUGGGUUGCUGCCCGAAUCCAGCAGAAAGGCGAUAGUAAAUGCGUUCCUUGGAAAAGCUUGCGAGAUUUGGUGCUAGUACAUCCUGAUAUAAAGAAAAGGGUCGAUGUCUUCGCUUUAGGUAUCUAUGGAUUAGUGGUCUUCCCCAAAGCAUUAGGACACAUAGACGAGGCUGUUUCUGAUUUAUUUGAUCGGCUCAGAAAAGGGGUUACUCCCGUUCCAGCAAUACUGGCUGAAACUUUCAGAUCCUUGAAUGCGUGUCGGAGAGCAGGUGAAGGAAGGUUUAUAGGGUGCGCGCAGCUCUUAUUGGCAUGGUUUCAUAGUCAUUUCUGGAAAGUGGAAAAAGUCUCUUAUCAGGUAUUCUCUGGUAGCUAUUCCCCUUUAGAAGAAUUAGUAGCUACGCCAAGGCGAGAUGAUGUUUCAGAGGAAAAAUGGAUGGCGAUACUCCAGAAUCUUCAAGAUGAAGAUGUUGAAUGGAGGGCUCCUUCGUUGAUUUCUGAUGAGAUUUUAUACCGGUGCGGGGAUUUUGACUGGGUUCCUCUGCUCGGAAUAUGGGGAGCUAUCGGAUAUGCUCCUCUACUCGUAUCAAGAUAGUUUAGAUCACGACAAUUCAUACCAGCAAUGCAAGGGUUGCCCAUUGUGAAUUUUCCUAUAAGGAGGACAAUUACAAGAAAAGGGUUCGAGAAAUGUCAAAUGCCUGAAACUAAACUCGCCGAAUGAAGAUCUUAGCUAUAGGUCCGGCAAUGACCCCCGAAUACAGUCAAUGGCAUGAUCAAAGGGUCAACGACAAUAUCCCGGUGUCAAAUCCAGAAACUGCUCGAUCUUUAGAGGAACACCUACAAGUAUUGCCCUCUGAGGUAGAAAUUAUCAAAAAAGAAUUUGAAAAAAGGAGCUUAGAGUUAGGGAAGAAAAUAGAGCAACUAGAGGAAGAAAAAAUGCAAUUAGGAUUGGAUGUGGACAUUCAAUAAUUAGAGGCUGACAAAUUGAGAAAAGGAAAGAACAAGGCAGAAGAAGAUUUAGACAGCCUGAAGAUGGACUACAAGAAGUUGCGUAGGUCAAUAAGAACUGCUGGCUUGGGUAAAACGUCAGAACAAUAGCGACAGGAAAUUCAGGAGGAAAAGAUGAAAACUAAUCAAUAGGAAAAGAUAUUUCAGGAUACUCGAGCUCGAGAAGUUGCUCUGGAAAAGAGUCUACUAGCCUGCCAAAACGAGAAGACAGAGCUGAAAGAUCGAGUAACUGAGCUAGAAAGGUCACUUCACCAGCAUCGUAGUCGUAAUUCUGCGGUUGAAUUAAAGGCAAGCUUGAACAAAAUUGAAGACUGAAAGGGACAAGUAGGGGAGCUCGAGGAUGCAUUGUAAAACAGCGAACUCCGAAUAGAGCUUCUGGAAAGAAAUAAUGAGCAGUGGCAAGGGCAAUUCCAUCGGUCUCAAGACCAUAUUAGAGAAAGAGAUUAUAUUAUGGGUGAGGCGGUGGCUCAAGUACACGAAGUAGCCGAGCACCUACAGACUCUAGCAGUCCAAGCAGAUGUGUUGAGUUUGAAGUAUGAGUCAGAAUCGAACCGGGGCUGAGACUUAGCUUGGCUUCUUAGGAAGGUUAAGGAUUUGGGUAUAAGGGCAAAGCCGUAUAUGUAAUCUAUUUUAUGUAAAGAAACUUCUUCUCUAGUAAAGUUUUCUAAUGAAGUUGAAUUAGAAUCUGUGCCUCUUUUUUUACAUUUAUUUCAUGCAUUGCAUCACAUCAUAUGCAUUAAUAACCAUUAAUGAACCUUAAUUGAAUAAAAUUAUUUCAGUUAACCUGGAAAAUCGACACUGUUACGGCACCCGUGCUAAGUCAAAAAUUAUGGAUCAAAGGUUGGAAAAGCUAGAGCGACUUCAAAAGGAAACGCAAGACCAGUUGCAGGCGCAAAUGAAAGAACAUAUGGAAAAGAUCUAGCAGGACAUGGUACAAAAGAUGAAGGAGUCUCAAGAUGACUUAAUGACUAAGUUGACGCAAUUAAUAACCAAAGGAGUAGAUAAAGGGAAAGGUCAUGUGAUUUACGAUGAAGAAGAAAACAAUGAUGAACCACUUUUUCCUCCAGGUUUUACGCUUCCGCAUGCGCAAGUUCAGACUGAACCACAUCCAUGGAGACCUUCUGUUUCGAUUAGACCUCAGCAUUUUCAAGGUGAUGUUUUAAUUCCAAAGAACCUUCAGGUCGGAUCUGGCUCUAAUCUUGGUGAUAAUCUAAUUAAUUUUGCUAUCCUGAAUUUUGAUGAAGUAGUUGAGAAGGACAAGGUGAAGGAAGAGUUUCCAAAGCAAUUUGAGGAGAAAUGGAAAUGGAUUGAAGAGAUGUUUAGGGCAAUAGAAAGCAUUGACAGCUAUCAUGGAAUAGAUGCAAAAGAUCUGAGCUUGGUUCCGGAUUUGGUGCUUCCUUACAAAUUUAAGAUGCCAAAAUUCGAGAAAUAUAAUGGGACCAGUUGUCCAGAAGCCCAUAUCACUAUGUUCUGUAGGAGAAUGACGGGGUAUAUUAAUAAUGAUCAAUUAUUAAUACACUGCUUUCAGGAUAGCCUUACAUGAGCGGCGUUAAAAUGGUACAAUCAGCUAAGCCAAACCAAAAUUGCUACUUGGAGAGAUUUGGCACAGGCAUUCAUGAAACAGUACAAUCAUGUCUCAGAAAUGAUGCCUGACAGGAUAACUCUGCAGAAUUUGGAGAAGAAAUCGAACGAAAGCUUCAGACAGUAUGCGUAGAGGUGGAGAGAAGUGGCGGUUCAGGUGCAACCACCGCUUUUGGAAAAAGAAAUGACGACGCUUUUUAUUAAAACAUUGAAAGCCCCGUUCAUCACUCACAUGUUGGGAAGUGCUUCAAAGAAUUUCUCAGAUAUAAUCAUGAACGGCGAAAUGAUCGAGCAUGCUAUUAAAAGUGGAAGAAUAGAUGGAGGGGAAAACAAUAGAAGGACAGCCCCGAGGAAAAGAGAAAAUGAAGUGAAUAAUGUGAAUGCCUACAGUAAGUCAAUUACCGUGAAUCAACCAAGGAAAGUGGUUGCUAAUCAGUAGGGCUCAUCGAAGCAAGAGUCGAGAAUGAGGCAAAAUACUGAGAAGCCUCAGUUCACACCCAUUCCAAUGACAUAUAAGGAGCUGUACCAGAAUUUAUUUAAUGCACAUGUUGUCGCUCCUCGUUACUUGAGUCCUCUACAACCCCCGUAUCCAAAAUGGUAUGACACGAACGCGCAAUGUGACUAUCAUGCUGGAAUUUCAGAACACUCAAUAGAAAAUUAUACUGCUUUCAAGAAGGUAGUGGAAGGACUUAUCAAAUUGGGUGUUGUUAAAUUUAGUGACUCACCCAACACAGAAAGUCCAUUGCCCAAUCAUGAUGAUAAGGGAGUGAAUAUGUUGAGCGAAUGUACGGGGAAAGGAGUCAAGACUGACAUUGCUGAAGUAAAAACUCCAUUGAAACGGGUCUGGAAAGAGAUGGCAAAAAGGGGGUUAGUUAUUUCAGAUUUUGAGGAAGGGUAUGAGAUGGGAAACUAUUAUGAAUUCCACGGUAAAACAGGGCACGAAAUCCAAAAAUGUGAAGGAUUCAGGGCUCUGGUUCAAAGUAUGAUGGAUAACAAGAAGAUGAGGUUCUAUGAAGAUACGGAAGAAAGGAAGAGCAUAUGUGUGACAGAAUCAGGAAUAGGGACUCUGAAAAUAAAUCCCUCUGUGGUCAUUAUCUCACACCCUAAGAGUAAUGAGGAUAGGCCUCAGGUAACACCAAAAAUUGUAAUCCAGAAACCAUCAAUUUUCUCAUAUAAGGAUAGCAAAAAGGUUCCGUGGAAUUAUGGGUGCAAUGUGACUAUCUUGGGAAGAGAAGCGGAAAGAAAUCAGGAAAUAGGAUCUUACACGAGCAAUGGGAAACGAUAUGACGCUCAAGCAGAAUCGUCAAGGGAAGAGAAUUUGAAGAAAGAGCAGAGGAAAGGGAAAAUAGUACAAGUUGAACCAUUGGUUAAUGAACCAUUAAAAGAAGAGGAGGCGGGGGAGUUUUUGAAGUUUUUGAAACACAGUGACUAUAGUGUUGUGGAGCAACUACACAAACAGCCCGCCCGCAUUUCUGUAUUAGCUCUACUCCUAAGCUCAGAAGCACAUCGGAAUGCAUUUUUGAAAGUACUAAAUGAAACAUAUGUGGCCAAUGAUGUUUCGGUAAACCAGGUGGAUCAGUUGGUCAAAAAUAUAGGUGCUGACAAUUUUAUUUUCUUCAAUGAUGAUGAAAUACCAUCUGGAGGAAGGGGUUCUACUAAAGCCCUGCAUGUUACUGUCCAAUGCAAAGGGUACACACUCCCGAGGGCCUUGGUUGAUAAUGGAUCUGCAUUGAAUGUAUUACCUUUAUCCACUCUUGGUCAGUUACCGACGGACAGUUCGCACAUGAAAGCAUGCCAGAGCAUAGUAAGGGCAUUUGAUGGAACGAAAAAGAGAGUUAUGGGAAGAAUUGAGGUACCGUUAAGGAUUGGCCCAAUUACUUAUGAGGUGGAUCUCUUGGUAAUGGAUAUUAAGCCUUCCUACAACUGUUUAUUGGGAAGGUCAUGGAUACACUCAGCCGGGGCAGUACCUUCAUCAUUACAUCAAAAGGUGAAGUUAGUGUCGGAGGGUCAGUUGGUAACAAUAGAUGCGAAGGAAGAUAUUAUCGCAACGGUAACUAGUGAUGCAUCUUAUGUGGAAAUUAGCGAUGAGGCACUGGAAUGUUCUUUUUGGUCAUUAGAAUUUGUGAAUGUGAUGUUUAUUGCUGAAGGAAGUAAAAUUUCGGUACCGAAAAUAUCCAGGACCACGGAAAUGGGGUUGCGAUUGAUGAUGGGAAGAGGAGCUUCACCAGGGAAAGGAUUGGGAAAAUAUCUUCAAGGAAAGAUUGAAGUACCGAUGCUGAGGGAAAAGUUUGAUAGUUUUGGCUUAGGAUACAAGCCAGACAUGAGGCAGAAGAAGAAAGAAGCACAGAAAAGACAAGAGAAAAGAAGGGCACGUUUGAAUGGAUAUGAAGCUAAGUGGGAACCUUUGACCUUUCCCUACUUAUCUGUAUCUUUUGUGUCGGGCGAAUUUAUUCAUCCUGAGCGUGGAAUGUCUAGUAACAAGGGUAUUGAAUAAAUGAGGGAAAACGUUCAUAUCAACACUAUAACGGAGGAAAGGGCUUUGUUGGAGAUCUGCCCUUACGAACCUGGGAGCGAGCUAAACAAUUGGACUGCGGAAGAAAUCCCUAUAGUCUUUCGGGCUUAUUCAGAGUAAUGCCCAGAACAUUCCUGUUGUUUUUGUCUAGAAAUGAUAUGAAAUCUUUUGUGAAAGAGGCUUGAGCCUAAAAUAUCAUUAUCCUAAUGAAAUAUACAUUUACAUUCAUUUUGAGCAAUCAUUCUUUUUUCUUUUCAUACAAGUAAAUAUCUUCCAUUUGAUUAAUUGUCUUCCAAAUAAUUUUUUCAUUUGUAACCUUAUUGUACAAAUAAUUAUUCAUAAAAUUUAUAUAUUCUUUGAUGCAUUCCAUCAUAGGUCCUCAGAUAUCAAUGACAUGAGUGAUGUUGCUUCAAACACGAAGUUUAUUUUUGAGCAAGAAAUGUGUUUGGAGGGAUCUCACGACUUUGAAAAUGAUGAAGACAAUGGUGUAUCCCCGGACUUGUUGAGGAUGGUGGAACAAGAGGACAAAUAGAUCCUACCUUAUAAGGAAUCUUUGGAAAUCGUGAGCCUAGAGGAAGGAAAAGAAGUGAAAAUUGGAACUGAAAUCACCGCAAAGACAAAACAGGACCUCAUUAAAUUGCUCCGAGAGUUCAAAGAUGUUUUUGCAUGGUCAUACCAAGAUAUGUCCGGGCUAAGCACUAGCAUUGUGGUACAUCGUCUGCCCAUAAAAGAGGAUUGUAAACCCGUUCAGCAGAAACGCAGGAGAAUGAGACCUGACAUUGUGUUGAAGAUAAAAGAAGAAGUUAAAAGGUAGUUCGACGCGGGAUUCUUACGAGAAAUCAAAUAUUCAGAUUGGGUAGCAAACAUCGUCCCCGUUCCCAAGAAGGAUGGAAAGGUGCGAAUGUGUGUGGAUUAUAGAGACUUGAACAAGGCUAGUCCAAAGGACAAUUUUCCACUACCUCACAUUGAUACUUUGGUAGAUAACACGGCAGACUACUUAUUAUUUUCUUUCAUGGAUGGCUUCUCUGGAUACAAUCAAAUAAAGAUACAUCCCGAAGACAUGAGGAAAACCACAUUCAUUACCUUAUAGGAAACAUUUUGUUAUAAGGUAAUGCCCUUUGGAUUGAAGAAUGCGGGACCAACAUAUCAAAGAGCUAUGGUGACUUUGUUUCAUGACAUGAUACAUAAGGAGAUCGAAGUCUAUGUUGAUGAUAUGAUUGCAAAGUUGAGAACUAAAGAAGAGCAUGUUCAAGUCUUAAAAAAGUUAUUUUUGAGAUUAAGGAAAUUUCAGCUCAAGCUUAACCCGGUAAAAUGCACGUUUGGAGCCAGAUCAGGGAAGUUAUUAGGCUUCAUAGUUAGCAGAAAUGGGAUUGAAGUUGACCCAGACAAAGUAAAAGCAAUACAAGAUUUGCCUCCCCUGCGCACUCAGAAGGAAGUUCGAGGUUUCCUUGGGAGAUUGAAUUAUAUUGCUCGGUUCAUCUCACAACUAACAGAGAAAUGUGAUCCAGUAUUUCAUCUUUUGAAGAAGCAUAAUCCGGGUGAAUGGAACGAUGGAUGUCAGAGGGCUUUUGACAAGAUAAAGCAAUACUUGGCUAAUACUCCAAUACUAUCGCCGCCAAGUCUGGAUAAGCCAUUGAUACUGUAUCUAACGGUGUUUGAGAAUUCCAUGGGAUGGGUAUUGGGCCAACAUGAUGAGACGGGAAAGAAAGAAAGGGCAAUAUACUAUCUCAGCAAGAAAAUUACUGAUUGCAAAAUGAGAUACUCGCCAAUUGAGAAGUUGUGUUGUGCUUUAAUCUGGGCAACCCGGAGACUAAGGCAGUAUAUGUUAUAUCACACAACUGGGCUGAUUUCAAAACUGGAUCCUUUAAAGUAUAUGAUGGAAUCAACUGCUUUAAAUGGGAGAAUAGCUAGAUGGCAGAUUCUGCUAUCUGAGUUUGACAUAGUAUAUGUAACUCAGAAGGCCGUAAAGGGCAGUGCGAUAGCUCACUUCUUAGUUAGUAGAGCUUUGGAGGAUUAUGAGUCUUUGGACUUCGAUUUCCCAAAUGAAGACCUGAUGUAUUUGGCAAACACUAAAGAAAAUCCUCAAAUAGAUCACGUAUGGAGGUUAAAUUUUGAUGGAGCUUCAAACUCUACGGGUAAUGGAAUCGGGGCAGUCUUGGUAUCCCCAAAUGGAGAUCAUUAUCCUGUUGCUAGCAAGUUGGACUUCGAUUGCACAAAUAAUAUGGCAGAAUAUGAAGCAUGUACUAUGGGCAUUCGCCCAGCCAUUGAGCGGAACAUCAAAGUGUUAAGAGUAUUUGGGGAUUCUGCAUUGGUGAUAUACCAACUCAAAGGGGAAUGGGAGACUAGAGACCCUAAGUUAAUCGGUUAUAGAAAACUGGUCCUCGAUUUAGCUGAUGAGUUUGACGAUAUCACCUUCUGUUAUCUCCCACGAGAGGAAAAUCAGAUGGCUGAUGCAUUGGCUACUCUAGCUUCAAUGUUUCAGGUGAACAGACUUGAGGCAAUAAGGCCUAUUCAGAUGAGUAUCUAUGAGACCCCAGCUCAUUGCUACAAUAUUGAGUAGGAGGGAAGAGAUGAUUGUCCUUAGUAUCAGAGUAUCCUACAGUAUGUGAAGAAUCGGGAGUACCCUAAUCGAGCAACAGAGAAUGACAAAAGAACUCUGAGAAGAAUGGCCAUUGAAUAUGUCUUAGAUGGGGAAGUAUUAUACAAAAGAAGGAAGGAUCAAGUACUGUUAAGAUGUGUGGAUGCCGUGGAAGCCAAGAAAAUUUUGGAGGAAGUCCAUGAAGGUAUUUGUGGGACGCACGCCAAUGGUUUCACGAUGGCUAGACAGAUCAUGAGAUUUGGGUACUAUUGGCCCACCAUGGAAGGAGAUUGCCUUGAUUAUGCCAAGAAGUGCCACAAAUGCCAAAUUUAUGGAGACAAAAUACAUGCGCCUCCUUCACCUUUUCACGUCAUGGCCUCUCCUUGGUCUUUUUCCAUGUGGGGUAUGGAUGUUAUUGGGCCGAUAUCACCAAAGGCCUCUAAUGGGCAUCGCUUCAUCUUCGUGGUUAUUGAUUAUUUUACCAAGUGGGUGGAAGCUGCUUCAUACGCAAACGUCACGAAAUCAACAGUCAGCAAAUUCUUAAAAAAGGAGAUCAUUUCUCGAUAUGGAAUGCCUGAGAAAAUCAUAUCCGACAAUACGUUGAAUUUGAACAAUAGCACAAUAGCUGAGGUUUGCAGCCAAUUUAAAAUCAAACAUCAUAAUUCAUCGCCGUAUCGUCCAAAAAUGAAUGGUACAGUUGAGGCGGCCAAUAAGAACAUUAAAAGGAUUGUGAGGAAAAUGACUGAAACUUACAAAGAUUGGCAUGAGAAGUUAUCAUUUGCUCUCCUUGCCUAUCGAACAUCUGUUAGAACUUCUACAGGGGCAACACCUGUUUCUCUAGUCUAUGGAAUGGAUUCAGUAUUACCCAUUGAAGUUGAGAUCCCUUCUCUACAGGUGUUAUCUGAACUACGGUUGGACGAGGCUGAAUGGGUCCAAUCUCAGUACGAUCAGUUGAACCUAAUAGAAGAAAAGAGGUUAAGAGCUAUUCACCAUGGGCGAAUGUACCAGAAACGAAUGAUGCGAGCCUAUAAUAAAAAGGUCCGCCUCAGAGAAUUUCGUGAAAGGGACUUGGUGCUAAAAAAGAUUCUUCCUAUGCAAAAGGAUUUGAGAGGAAAAUGGAUGCCAAAUUGGGAGGGUCCUUAUGUUGUAAAGAAGGCCUUUUCUGGUGGAGCUCUGAUUCUAAGUGAGAUGGAUGGUAAAAAUAUGCCAAACUCUGUAAACGCAGAUUCCAUCAAGAAAUACUUCACUUGAGGGAAAAUGAACCAAAAUGAAAACUCGCAAAGGGCGCUUUGCUUCCCUAAAAAAACUUUGGAGAGGCUAAGAGGAAAACCCGUAAAGGGCAUCUUAGACCAAAGGGGGCUUGAGUCGAAAACCCAAAAAAAGACGGCUCAAGUAUUGAUCAAAUUAGGGCAUGAGAUGAUUUGAGCGGGCCGAAUUUUAAUUGGGGCAUAUGAUGAUCUUGCUUUACUUGAACCAACAAGAAAGGGUACGUGACAUCUUGAAGCAUUGACCGAGUACUGCGGAUCUCCUAAACACAUAUCAAAAUCAGAAAGGCCUUCAGGAAGUUUGAACAAAGAAAUUCAAGCUGCGAUAACUGGGGCACUUAGUUCUUAUUAUUGAUUGUGUUAUCCUUGAAAAUACCUUUUAUUCUUGUUAAGAUACACAUUCUUAAUCAACUUUUUGUUAUUCUUCUUCCGCUAUCUUUGAUAUUUUUCUUUCGAGUUAUGAUCGGAGCCAGCUUUGUUCUUAUUCAUUGUUGUGACCUUUUUGCAAACAUGUUCCAUUGGAGUAAUGAUUAAUGGAUUAAUAAAACUUUCACAAAAGAAGUUUUGCAUAUUACUCUGAAAAGUUCUAAAUAAUAUAGGAACCUGAAACAGGACUAUUGUUUAGAACAUACCAAGUUUAAAGGUUGGAAAUUUGAGAAGGAAUAGUUUAAAUUUAGACUUUCUCUUUGGAUUUUUGUUGUCAAAAGCAUUGAUUGAACAAAAUGACAAAGAUGUCAUAUUAACGAUAAGGUUUCAAUAAAAGAGCAGGCAAUGAUCAUCAGGCAAUAGGAAGAGGUUGCCUCGGAGAGUAGAGCCUUCAUUUGCACAUGAGUCUUUGGUACGACACCUUGGGAAUGGUGUAAGGAACCAGAACGAUUCAGAUCUUGUACCCUUGAAUUGUGAUAGGAAAGGAUUGAGAACAGCCACAUAUUUAUUGGAUUACAAUGGGGGGUAACUUAGCUAAAUGUUUCUUUAGAAAAGUUAAUCAAACAAGAAAGUACUAUAACACAUCAGUCACAAAGCCUUAAUAAACUUCGAGUAACGAUAACCUAAGCGAGAUCAUUCAUGAAAAAUAAAAUUCUGCAUCCAUGCAAACACCAUUCACACAUGUCUAGUUAGGAGCAUUUGAUUCAUUUUGAUCAUGCCAUCUUAAUCAUUAGGCAUAAUUAGGUUCAUUAUACAGGUCUUAUUUCCCUGAGAUUAUGGUGGAACAGACCGAAGAAUUUCAAAUCUUAUCUCCCUGAGAUUACAGCGGAGCAGAUUGAAGCUAGUAAUCCUAUCUCCUUGAGAUUACAGUGGAGUGGAUUAAAAUAAAGGAUCUUAUCUCUCUGAAGUUACAGUAGAGUAGAUCGUAUCAGGUCCUAUCUCCCUGAGAUUACAGCGGAGCAGAUUGAAGCUAGUAAUCCUAUCUUCCUGAGAUUACAGUGGAGCGGAUUAAAAUAAAGGAUCUUAUCUCUCUGAAGUUACAGUAGAGUAGAUCAUAUCAGGUCUUAUCUCCCUGAGAUUACAGCGGAGCAGAUUGAAGCUAGUAAUCCUAUUUCCCUGAGAUUACAGUGGAACAGAUUAAAAUAAAGGAUCUUAUCUCUCUGAAGUUACAGUAGAGUAGAUCGUAUCAGGUCUUAUCUCCCUGAGAUUACAGCGGAGCAGAUUGAAGCUAGUAAUCCUAUCUCCCUGAGAAUACAGUAGAGCAGAUUAAAAUAAAGGAUCUUAUCUGUCUGAAGUUACAGUACAGUAGAUCGUAUCAAGUCUUAUCUCUCUGAGAUUACAGCGGAGCAGAUUGAAGCUAGUAAUCCUAUCUCCCUGAGAUUACAGUGGAGCGGAUUAAAAUAAAGGAUCUUAUCUCUCUGAAGUUACAGUAGAGUAGAUCGUAUCAGGUCUUAUUUCCCUGAGAUUACAGCGGAGCAGAUUGAAGCUAGUAAUCCUAUUUCCCUGAGAUUACAGUGGAACAGAUUAAAAUAAAGGAUCUUAUCUCUCUGAAGUUACAGUAGAGUAGAUCGUAUCAGGUCUUAUCUCCCUGAGAUUACAGCGGAGCAGAUUGAAGCUAGUAAUCCUAUCUCCCUGAGAUUACAGUAGAGCAGAUUAAAAUAAAGGAUCUUAUCUCUCUGAAUUUACAGUAGAGUAGAUCGUAUCAAGUCUUAUCUCUCUGAGAUUACAGCAGAGCAGAUUGAAGCUAGUAAUCCUAUCUCCCUGAGAUUACAGUGGAGCGGAUUAAAAUAAAGGAUCUUAUCUCUCUGAAGUUACAGUAGAGUAGAUCGCAUCAGGUCUUAUCUCCCUGAGAUUACAGUGGAACAGACCGAGGAAUUUCAGAUUUUAUCUCCCUAACGUUGCAGUGGAGCAGACUAAAACCAUAAACUUCGUCCCCCUGAAGUUGCUACGAAGAAGAUCGAAGCUACAAGUCAGAUCUUUCUGAAGUGCAGUGGAGUAGAUCGACGCAACAAGACAUAGUGGAUUGAAAUAAACCUAUUUGAAGAAGGGAAGCGUCAAAAGAAGUCGAAAUCCGGCGAAACCAGGCAAAAUUGGUCUUUCUUGGUCUUUGCUCUGUUCUCGUUACACAACAACGAGCAAAGAGGGGCAGCUGUUACAGACCCAUUUUGCCCCAAGGCCCAUUACAAAGUAAAAACCCAAAGCCCACCUAAACCUAACCCAGACCCGAGACCCACUUAUCCCAGGCCUGAUUUCAAAAAAGCCCCUUGACUUUUGGCCUCCUGCCAUCGCCGCCACCGCCACUAAACGUCCCAUCCGCGUCCAUCACCACCACCCAUCCACUUGCGCCGUCACCUGCAAAGAAGAGAAACAAACAAAGGAAAAGAUAACACAAACAGUGGCAAAGAUCGGCUAUAAAAGCCAACAAAAUGUAACCUUUCUUUUCUUCGGGUACUCUUUGUAACAAAAGAGAGAUUAGCAAAAAGAAAUAAAAUACAAACUAAGUUUUAAGGUGAUUUCGAGUACUCUUCUUCGUUUUUCAUUUUAUUUCUUAUCUUUUUUUUGUUUAUUUAUAUAUGUAAAAUAAAGAAAAGUAAAAGGAAAAAAAAACUCACCUGAUUCGUUUUUCGGUUGCGUCGCCGUUGGGAUCUACCCAUCGUUGAAAUCGGCCUCGAAAGGCUGAGUUAAGGGGUCUCUCCUUUGGAUCUUUCGGCUAAAUGAGUCUAGCCUUCAAUUAGGCCUAGGAUCGGGGACUAAAUAGCCCUUUUGCGCAACGCCGACCACCACGCAUGGUGGCGCUACGGCGGCGCUGUGUGGGCUCAAAGUUCGGGCGUUUGAGAGGGGGAGGAGAAAGGUUUUCUUUUUUUUGUUUUGUUUUUUUAAAAGAAAAGAAGUGAGAUGGUGAAUAUUUUUUGAAAGAGUUUGGGUUUAAAUAACCCCCUAAAACGGCGCCGUUUGGGCUUAGGGUUCAGAGACCAAAAACGGCGUCGUUUUGGUCUCUGACCCGCGCGGUGACCCGACCCGAGGGAAGGAUCCGCGUGUUUUUGACUCUUGGGUUAUUUGCGCAAUUAGUCCCUUUGAUUCUGUAGCGAUUUCAUGGAAGUUUUUCGCAUAUUUGCAAUUUGGCCACAAAAUUUUAUUUUUGUCUCAAUUCGGUCCAUUACUGCGCAGCGUUUUGGGGCUUUGGUUUAUUUACGCUGUUAGUCCCCCUCUUUCAGCACGCGUUACGAUUUAGUCCUUCUUGUCCUUUUUUAUUUUUUAUUUUGCCCCGUAUUUUCGCUUUUAUUUCGAUUUAGUCCAUAUUUUAGCAAUUUUAUUAUUUAGUUAUUAUUAUUAUUAUUAUCUUAACUAUUAUUAUUAUUAUAUUUAUUAACAUUAUUGUUAUUAUUAUGCCCUUUUUUUUAUAUUCACUUAUGAAACUUUUAGAUAUAUUUGUUUUAAUAUAUUAUUAUCAUGAUUGUUUUUAUAUACAUAUACGUAUAUAUAUAUUUUUCUCACUUAUUUAAUAUAUAAAUACUCAAUUUUAUAUACAUACCUAUAUAUAUAUAUAUAUGUUUUUAUAUAUUAAAAUAUGUAUAUUAUUUAUAUAUUUUAUUUUAUUUUGUUAUAUUUUAUAAUCCAUAUAUGUAUAUAUUUUCAUCUACAUACAUAUGUUCUUAUGUUUUGUAAUAUUUAUGUAUUCCUUUCUUAAUAUAUAUAUGUACAUAUUUUAACCUUUGUAAACACAUAUACAUAUACACGCAUAUUUUAAUUUAUGUCCAUAUAUAUCUCUUUACAUUUAAUUGUAUUUACUACUUAUUUAUUUCAUUUUCUUUAUUAUUUUGAAUGAAUGUUUUAAUUUAUUUGUUUAUAUACAUUGUUAUUUUAUACGAUUGUAGGUAUGACUUUUAUUUAUUUUAUAUUGUUGCUAUUACUCGUAUCAUUUUUAUACUUUUGUGUGUGUAUUAUGAUUUUACCACGCAUAACAACAAUGUAAUUUGCUUUCACAUUUUACUACGAUUUUCGUGUUUUAUUUUACUUGAUAUAACAAAAAUUAGUUUUAAAAAAAUAAUAAAAUAAAAUUUCAUGUUUAGAUUCGAGAGGAUCGUACCCUAACUUACUAGGUUUCGAUUUUCAUAAUAAAUUUAAAUAUACGAAUCUUUUCAAACUCAAGUUUUUAAACGAUCUUGGGAAUUAAGAAAAGAUCGUGUCCUAACAUACUGGGCAUGAUUCAUUUUUUUAAACCCGAGAUAAUAAAAUAUCUUUUAAAUGAGUAAAUUUUCAGCAUUCGUUCGUGUAUCGGGAAUUUGAGAUAUUGUGUCCUAACUUACUGGAUGUGAUUCUCUUUCUCGAUUAACGUGAAAUAUGCCCAUUUUCCCAAAAUUUUUAACAUUUUAAUACAAGGAUCGUAUUUUUAAUUAGGUACCAAUUUCUGGGCAUUACGAGGGUGCUAAUCCUUCCUCGUACGUAACCGACUGCCGAACCUGAUUUCUGAAUUUCGUGGACCAAAAUCGUUGUUUUAAUAAAAUCAAAUCGUUUAUUAAAACCACUUUUCGAGGUGAUCCAAUCGCACCUCAUAAAAAAGGGAUUGGUGGCGACUCCCCUUUCAUUUUUUUGAAACCCAAGUCGACCCCGUUUUUCAUCAAAAAAAUGGUGUCAACAAAUAUUAAAAUAUUUUUCUGACUCAGAUUUGUAGUCCCAAAACCACUGUCCGACUAGGGUCUAAACCGGGCUGUUACAAAAUUAAUUUUAAAAUCAGUUAAAAUGGAUUAAGGUAAUUAAUUAUUGAGUAAUGAAAUACAUAAUCAAAUCAAUUGAUUUUGCUAGAAACUAAAAGAAAAAGGGAUAAGCUAAAAACUGAUUGCCCUUUAUUAAAAUUAACGAAUCCGCCUUUUACAUAUUAGAUAAUAUGAACAUCGCAUAUAUAAUAAGAAAAAUUACGUACGAUUAUUUAUUAUCAUAAAAGGUUAGUUUAAAUUUAAAGUAAUCUAAUAUGUUUAUUGAACUUCAACUAUUAAAUAAAGUAUAAGCAAAAUAUGUGUAAAUAUUCUAGAAACCAUUUCUAACUAAUGAUAGGCUAAUUUGGAAUUAAGAUUAAUAUAUAAAAACUAGAUAGUAGGGUUAUAGUCCUCAAACUACACCUAAUUUAAUAACAUUUAUAUUUUUUUUAGCCUUAAACAUUUAUAGUUUUUGUUAAUUUGGUCCUUACUCUUUAAAAGUACAUAAAAUUGCAAAAAUAUUUUAAAAAUUGCAAGAAAACAACUCCAAUGACACUAUUGAAGCCGACUCUGAAGCAGAUGUUCAUCAAGAUUGAAGAUUCCAGUUGAUUUCUUAAGAGAUUAUCAUGAGUUUAUUUAUUUCUUUGGGUUAUACUACCCUUUGGAUGUUUUUAUUUUUAAGCAUAAACUAAUUUUCAAAAUAUUUAAGAGAGAUGAACCCUAUGAUAGAUUGUGACACCCUAAACCUGACCGAGAUAGAUUGGACCGAAUUCGAAGCAUUACAUUAGCCACAUAAGUGCCUCUCCAGCUAACGACCACCCAAGACACACCCCGACCUUAUAACACCUCAAUCUUAUCUAAUUAUUAGUUAUUUAUUAAUGCAGAAGUAAAUUAUAAGCCAAUUUUAAACUUUUCCUAGAUAAUUUAACCUAAGGGCAAUUUUGUCAUUUUAUCACCUACUGUAAAACUAACCUUUUUAGAUCUAAGUGAUUACCAACCUUCUUUUAGUCAAAUUAUGCAAGCCUAAAAUUUUGAGCUUAAUUUGAGUUCGUUUACUAUGUCUAAUUCAAGUUUUAUUAUUAAGGACUGAAUUGUAACUCAAACAAAUUAGAAUACUAAUUUAAAGAGACAAAAAUUCAAAACCCCAAAACCCACACGGGCAUGUGGGUAAGUGACAGGGGUGUGUGGAGACUGGAGCUAUCACACACAGGCUUGUGGGAUUGAAAAAUAUGAAAUAAAUUAAUCCACUCAAUUUUCCAACAACCAUGCUAUACUACCAAACCAAAAAACACUUGAAGAUUUGAAUAGGGGCGAAUCUAAAAAAAGAAGAAGAAGAAGAAUUAGAAUUAAAUUAUAAAUUUUUGAGAAGUUAAAAUAUAAUUUUAUCAUGUAUUAAUUUAUUAUUUUUUAAAGGGUCUCAAUAGAAUUUUUUUUUCCAUUUUGGUUGGGCCAAUACCCCUGCCUGCCUCUUUAAAUUUGCUCCAACCCUAUACCCAAUAUUUGAUUUGGAUUAACAACAAUAUAUAGGUUAGUAUUUGUGGGAGUUUGACGAAUCUUAGAUGUUUAAAUUAUAAAUUUUUGAAAGAUUAAAAUAAAUUUGUAUUUUUUAUUAACAAAAGAAAAAAGAAAAAAAAACAUGUGUAGACAAGUCAAGAGACCUUUGGGAUCAUACGGGUGAUUUUGAUGAAGUUAAUGGUUAUUUUGGUGGAGAGGGUGAAAAGGAAACAAAUGAUUCAUUAUAUAUAAUAUAAUUAUGAAAUUCAAGCCAUAUAUUGUAUGUUUCAUACAUAAAAAUUUCAUGGGACGUCCAAAGGUUAACAUAUCAAUUGAUUUAUGAGUUUACACUUUUUUUAUAAUGUUGUACUUUUGGUUUUUGUGCAAUAUGAUACAUAUAUUUGGUAAAAAGUUAUAUAUUUUGAUACUUAAAGGUAACAUUGUUAAUUUUUUAGUGUUUUAUCUGAAUUUUAGAGUUUAUUUAAUGAACAUUAAUUGUUAAUAUUGUUUUGUUUAUUUUUUUAUGAUUUUGUUAAUAAAAUAAAUUUCAUGUUAAUCUUGUUAUCUUUCUUAUUUUAGAAUUGAUUACAUGAAAGUUAAUUGCUAAUAUUAUUAGUUAACUAUUAGUUUUCUUCAAAUCAAAUUAAAACCCGAAAGGUCCCUCUUUUUUUAUAUUAGUUUUAGUUAUCCAUUAAAUUUGUUUCUUUGUAAUAAAAUUAAAUUAUAGAAAUAACAUUAAAAUUUUCAAUAAAAAUAAUUCACAAUAAUUAUACAGAAUUUAAUUUUCUUUCAAAUGCUACAGUUAAUAAGGAAAGUGAAUAUAGUACAUAUCAAUAAAACUUUUAAAAAAGAAAUAUUGUUUAAUUAGUUAAUUUAAAAAUUAGCGUCUAAAAACUGUCAGAAUGAAAUAUUAGAUUUUAUAAGAUUUCAUUAUUCUAAAAAAUAAAAUAUGACAAUGCUUAAAAAUUUUAUUAAAAAAGUUUUAAAUUUUAUAUAAAAUUUAAAAAAAUAUAAAAUAGUACUAAAAAUUUUUAUAAGCAAAUUUAAAUAUUAAUUAGUAAAUUAUUUUUGUAAUAUUUAUAUGUAUUUUCAUUUUUAUAAAUACUAUUAAAACUUAUUUAAAAAAAUUGAAUGCUAUUAUAUGAAAGUUAAAAUGAUCUAAAAACAUUUUUUAAAAUUUUAAAUACUUUAUAAAAUAUUUAAAAUAUUUUAAAUUAUAUCAUAUAUAUUCUACAUAUAUUAAGAUUCUGAAUCAUUAAUUAUAUAUCUACAUAUUAUAAUAAAUUCAUCUUUCAAAAUUUUCCUAAACUAUAUUCAUAAUAUUAUAAAUAUAUUAUAUCAUAAAUAUUCUUUCAAAUGUUUUUAAUGUUUAUUAAUAAGUUAAUUUAUAAAAUAUUCUUUCAGUAAAUUAACGUGAUGAGAUCGUUAGUUGCUUGGAUUUGGUGAUGGGGACGAGGAGAAAAGGGAUGGAAGUGAAGAGAAAUGUUGGGAAAUUGAAAGGGUUAGCGAGGGAGGCCUCCAUGAAAGGUGGUUCUAUGGAUAUGAACCUUCAAGCUUUUGUGGAUGAUGUUGCUCAAGGUUGUUGCAAGUAAAUUUAAAAAUGUUUUUUUAAUUAUUUUUUGUUAAAAAAUAUUUUUUCUAUGUGAUAACUUCUGAUGAUUUUUGUCUGUAACAUUAGACAGGUUAAUAGUUAAAUCGUUCAAACUGACAGAUUUCGCUAAAGGGAGAGGUCAAUUGAUUUUUUUUGGAAUCAUUGAGAACUCAAUUGGUGCACUUUUUUCAUAAAGACUAAAUUAAUUUUUUAAUUUGUUAUCGCUGAGGGCUACAGUAAUAAAAAAUUUUGAGGCAAAAAUGGAAUAACGUCCCAAAAAUCUAAUACUUAAUUUGUAAAAUUUUAUCAUUAAUAAAUAUUUGCCUUAGUGGUUAAGUAUUCAAGACGUGUCUAUAAUAUCUUGUAUUCAAGUCCUUAUGUGAAUGGAUUGUUAUUAUUUUUUUUGCGCGGGUCGGGUAGGAGGUUGAGUUUGAGUCCAGUUCGAACUCUGGAAAAAGGUGGUUAGUUAUCUGAGAUGGGGUUAGUGCUUAGUAGAUUUGGAUUUGGUUUAUUUUAAAAUUUAUUAAUUAAUUUGUUAAAAAAUUAAAUAGUUUUUUCCUAAUUUUUGGCUCACCAUUCUUUCUUUUGUUUUUCUUUAUGCUUUCUUUUUCUUUUCUUUUUCUGUUACCUUUCAAAUCACGUCGAUUUGUUCCUAUUUUGCUUUUGAGUUUUUCUUUUCUUUCCUUUACGCUCCUCUACGAUCGUGUCUUAAUUCCUUCAUUAUUUUCUCUUUGUUGGCGUUGCUCGUUCGAGAGUGGAUUAGUUUCCGUUUUGAUGUGUUUUUACGUGGUUAAUAAAAGAAAUGUGUUAAUUUUUGGAUUAUGGAGUUGAUCGUUUUUAAUCAAUUCUCCAGUAAGUUGACUCGUUUGCUGUUGUAAUGUGCUAGGGUAAGAGAUUAAUUCUGAUUUGGGCCUGUGUGGUUGUGUAGAUUUUCCAUGUGAAUUCGUUUGGUAUUUUUAGGUUAAAUCAUUCUUUAAAUCGUAUUGCUACCAUCGCUAAUGUGAUGUUUUAAUUUAUGCAUUUAGGAUCUGGUAGUCUUGUAGGUGUUUUCGCAUAAACAAUUCGAACCAUGUGUAACGAAAAACUCGACAAUAACGAGCGACGAAAGCUAAAAAAUUGCACUGUCGAUGCCACACGGUCAUGUGACAAGCCAUGUGCUAGACCGUGUGCAACACACGAUCUGGGCUAGUUGAGCCGUGUGGAACAAGAAACUAAGAAAAUCCAAUCUAACAAAGAAAAUAACUUGAUGUCCAAAAGCUACCAUGAACCGUAAUUCAUGGGAAGGCUUGUUGCUCAUUUUAUUGGUUUCCAUUUUGACUUUUGCAAAAGAAGUUUGAAUUUUGAAGAGAGCCUAGUACGUGAGAGCAAAAGAAAGAAUUCUAUAAAGAUUUUGAAUUUUGAAUUUUGAAUUUUGAAGCAAAUUUUCAUUAAGAUUGAAGAUUUGUAAUUGAUUUCUUAGGAGAUUAUCACGAGUUCCUUAAUUUUUUCAGUUAUAUUGCCCUUUGGAUGUUUUUAUUUUUAAUCAUGAACUAAUUUUCUAAAUACGUAAGAGAGAUGAACCCUAUGAUAGAUUGUGACACCCCAAAGCCGACCGGGAUAGACCGGCCCAAAUUCGAAGCAUUACAUUAGCAACCUAAGUGACUCACUAGCUAACGACCACCCAAAACACACCCCGACCUUAUAACACCUCAAUCUUAUUUAAUUAUUAGUUAUUUUAGAGAUUCUUAGCUUUGACAACUUCUCUCCACCACUUCUCUUACGCUCCUUCCAGGAUCUUGCUUUUUGUCUGUUGAAAACUCAAAUGAACAAAAUAAAGUGAAUUUAUGAGUUUUGUUUUCUUUUAAAAAUAUUUUUAAUAUUUUUGUGGAUAUCAAGAGAUACCAAAAAUUAUUUCAUUAAGAAAUUUUAAUUCACUCGAAAAGUUAGUGUUUUAUUUCAAGGGAUCAUAAUUAAUCAUUAGAUUUCUGAAUUUUAAAUUUUGAAUUUUUUGACAAUUGCGUAAUUAAUAAGUACCAAUUUUGAGUGUUGUAGGGCUAGUACANNNNNNNNNNNNNNNNNNNNNNNNNNNNNNNNNNNNNNNNNNNNNNNNNNNNNNNNNNNNNNNNNNNNNNNNNNNNNNNNNNNNNNNNNNNNNNNNNNNNAUUUGUCCUUAUACUUUGAUCUAAAUAUUUUGAUCUAAUAAAUGUAAAAAAACCUUUUAAACAAAAUAAGGUUGAAAUAAUCUAUUUGUCUUUAUACUUUGAUAAAAUUUAAGAUUUAGUCUGUAUACCUAAAAGGUUAAAAAUUAAGUCUUCUUGUUUUUAUUUAAAAAUCUUAGUCCUAUCGUUAAUUUUUUUUUGUUAAAAUUUAUCAACUUGACAUAUUAAUUAGGUUUCCCUUAUAUGUCGUGGUAUACGACUAACACAAAAUAAACAAGUUGACAAAUUCUGACAAAAAAUAUCAAAGAUGGUAAUAAUUUAAUUAAAAUUUUUAAAUUGAAAAAGUAGGGAAUUAAAUUUAUAACUUUUAAAGUACAAAAAAUGAACUUAUUGAAAUACAAGAACUAACAACAUAUGUUAAAAUAUUACUAGUAAAUUAUAUAUCUACAACAAGAAUUGUAAAAUUCUGCACCUUUCGUUAUAAUAUGAUUUAUUAAUUUUAAAUUUUUUACAGAAUAAUAUGCUUUAAACUAUUUUUUGUAUCAUUUAUAAAAAUUAUAAUAAACUUACAAAAUGAUUUCAUCAUAUUUAAUUAUUAACGGGAAAAAAUGAUACCAUAUAUAUUUUGUAUAUAUUAAGAUUCCGAAUCAUUAAUUAUAUAUCUACACAUUAUAAUAAAUUUAUCUUUCAAAAUUUUCCUUAUAAUUAAAUCAUAAAUUACAUUUAUAAUAUUAAAAAUAUAUUAUAUCAUAAAUAUUCUUUCAAAUAUUUUUUAAUGUUUAAUAAUAAGUUAAUUUAUAAAAUAUUCUUUCAAGAAAUUAACGUGAUGAGAUCAUUAGGUGCUUGGAUUUGGUGAUGGGGGAUGAAGAGAAAAGGGAUGGAAGUGAAGAAAAAUGUUGAGAAAUGGAAAGGGUUAGCGAGGGAAGCCGCCAUGAAAGUUUAUUGGUUCUAUGGAUAUGAACCUUCAAGCUUUUGUGGAUGAUGUUACUCAAAGGUUGUUGCAAGUAAAAUUUAAAAAAAAAAAGAGGUAAAAAGAAAAAAAUAUUAGAGCUAAAUUUGUCAUUAUGACUAAAAUGUAAAACCAAAAUUUUUUAAAAAUGGAAAAUUUACAAAUUUUGUCACUUAUGUUUGCUUAAAAUUAUAGUUUUGGUCACCAAUCUUUUAAAGUAAAUAUAUGGUCACCAAUAUUAUCCAUUUGUUACUUUGUAAUAACUCACCUUAAACUUCAGUAAUUGACGAGCGCUUUCACAAACUGUGGAUGACUUGGGGAUAAGAACUUCAACAAUUCUAGAGUUAAAGUGUAAAUUUACUAUUAUAUUAUAAGUAAAUAUUGAAAUUUAUCACUAUAAUUGAUACUUGUCAUUACACUUUGAAAAUAUAAAUAAAUUUACCAUUUAACUCAUAUGUGAUAGAACUUUACAAGUAAACUUAAAAUUUUAUUUAAUUUUGUCACUAAAUUUGAUUUAUUUAAUUAAAUUUACAACUCAAUAUAGAUUUUGGUGACUUAAAAUAAAAUUAAUAAAAAAAACUAUUCUUUCAGAUAAUUUUUUAAUGUUUAAUAAUAAGUUGAUUUAUAAAAUAUACUUUCAUUGGACACAAGCAUCCAAGGCGGUGAACAAACCACUUGUCAAAUUAAUUUGGAGAUGUCUUUUUUUCUAAAUCAAGUAAAUUUAUGAGUUUUGCAUUUUUUAUAAAAAUAUUUUUAAUAUUUUUGUGGAUACCAAGAGAUUAGGGGUGAGCAAAACUCGAUUCGACUNNNNNNNNNNNNNNNNNNNNNNNNNNNNNNNNNNNNNNNNNNNNNNNNNNNNNNNNNNNNNNNNNNNNNNNNNNNNNNNNNNNNNNNNNNNNNNNNNNNNUAUUUUUUAAUUCCAAAAUACAUAGUGACAAGAAUCUGAAGAUAAUUGAAACAACUAAGCAAGCAAAGAAGCUAAUCAGUAUAUAAAAAAUUAAUAAAUAAAUUAUGAGGUGAUGAAAGUUAAUAAAAAAUUUGAUUAAGGUAGACAAAUUUUAUUACGAUGGGUGACAGCGGUUACAAGGACCCAAAAUUAUUUUUUAAAAUUUAACUCGAAUAAAUAUAUUCGAUUCGAUUCGAUUCGAAUUCCAUCUCACUCGACUCGAUUCGAGAAAACUUCAAAUAAAGGUAGGAUGAUAAAAUAAGAUUUGAAAACUCGAUUAACUCGAAAAUUUUUGAUUCGAUUCGAUUCGAUUCGAUCGAAUGCUCACCCCUACAAGAGAUACCAAAAAUUAUUUCACUAAGGAAUAAAUUAGUGUUUUAUUUUAAGAGUUCACAAUUAAACAUUAAAUUUUUUAUUUUUAAAUUUAGAAUUUCUUGACAAACGCGUAAUUAAUAAGUACUAAUUUUGGGUGUUGUAGGGUUAUUACAAUCUUGCCUACACGUAACAGAUUCUUAAACCUACUUUUUUUUUCUAGAACUCAAUGCAAACCUCAAAUUUAUCUUUUUAAAAAAAUUUUAAAAUAUCUAUAUAAAAGGUGAUUUUUUUUAUCGAUCACACUUAAGAAAUUUUAAAAAUUAUUAAUUUUUUUGAAAUUUAAAUUGAUCUAAAAACAUAUUUUUAAGUGCUUUAACCAUCUGGUGCUAAUUUCUUUAUUAUAUUAAAUGCUUGCAAUCACUCCUGAUAUAUUAUACUUGAGUUGUGACAGAGCCAAUUAUCAACGUGCCAUAAUGUUCUAUUGGUGCUGAAACUGAAGUUUUAGUUAUAUUAAUAGAGCUUGUCCUUCAACGCGUAUAAUAAGUGUUUGUUAUUUUUUUCCUUCAAAUUGUAUGAUCUCAUUCAUUAAAUGAAUUAAUGAAUUUCUUUUUAAAAAUAUAAUUCUAAAAAUUAAAUACUUUAUAAAAUAUUUAAAACUAUUUAAAAAAUUGUAAGCGAUAAAACAAUCAACAAGAUAUAUUUUUCUCUAAAAAAAUCAAUAAAAAUAUGUUUGAAAUUUUAUAUGAAAUUUAAAAUUUUUUAACAAUAAUAUAUUUUAAAAUUAUUUACACCUUUUUUUUAUAUAUUUUUCCUAACAUAUCGUUAUUUUCAACACUAUCGCAAUCCUGUUUUGGUAAUUCCCUUUCCAUACAUCCUUUUUCUACAUAGAAUUUCGAAAGAAAAUGUGAAUUAAUGCAGACUUGAGAAGACUUAGUGGUAAGUCACCCAAUGAAAGUGACCUAAACCGACUUAUGGAACAAUCAAACAAUAAUUUUGUAUCUUAUAAUAUAUUUAAUUACAUUUAUUAGUUUAUCAAUCAAAACUUAAUUAGAAUCCAUCAAUAUUUCACACAUAGCAUAAAAUUCACUUUUAAAGUAUUUGGGUUGUAUUUAUAUUAUAGGAAAUAGACUUAUUCUUGAUGCACAUGUUUUAUUAUAUUUAAAAAUUAAAAUAUAUGAUUGAUUGGGUUUUAGUUGAGUUAGUAUUAGUAUUGUUAUCACUAUAUGAAAAAGUGAGCUCGAUCAUGCUCAAAUGCGUUUUAUCCUCCAAUUCAAGAGUUGAGAAAAAAUUAUUGAUAAUUAAAUUAUACAAUAUCUAAAAAGCAUUUAUAAAUAAUAUAAGAAAAAAAAAGAAAAAAAGAAGAGAAACAUAUUCAUAUCGAUGGGCUCUUUCAUUAUUAGAAUUUUAUUCUCUCACAAGUAAAAGUAUUUAUGGAGAGGAUCAUGUAAAAUAAUGACCUGAAUAAUUUUAAACGUUUCAUCAUUACAAAAAUGAAAUAAUAGAAAAGAAAGACUACCCAUUUUAUGAAAUAUAAAUUUUAAAUGAAUUUUAAAAUCUUUUUAUAGAAAGCUAUUUUUUUAGGUGAUUCACCAAAGAAUAAAAAGAUGGGAGGUGAUUCCUCCUUUUUAAUAAAACCUUGUGCUUUUACAAACACCAAAUUAUUCCUAAGCUUUACAUUAAUAUACAUGAUUUAUUUUUUCGUUAUUAUUAUUUCUAUGAUUAUAAUAUUAUACUUAUUGGACUAUAAUCAUAACCAUGUUUAUUAUCAUUCAAUAAAAAGAAAUAAGUGUUGGAUGUAAUGGCAAGGUACAUUACAAUCUUAAUAGGAGAUUAGGGUUUUGGACAAAGGAAGAAUAUGAUUUGAAUUUUGGAGACGACAUUCUUAAAAUGAGCAACCACGGGGCCCGAUUAUGAACCAUAAAAUGAACAUGAAAAGUACCCAAAAAAACACGUCUAUUAUCCAAUUAGUAAUCCAUCCCAAGGCUUAAAUUAACAAAAUUCACCAUGCAACCGUGUAGACUAUUUUAUGUAUAUACUAUAUUUAUUCUUCAUGCAAAUGUUUAUUAUAUUUAAAAAUUAAAAUAUAUGAUUGAUUGAGUUUUAGUUGAGUUAAUAUCGAUAUUGUUGUUAGUGCAAAAGAAUGUGAGUUCAAUCAUGUUUAAACGCGUUUUAUCUUCCAAUUUAGGAGUUGGAGAGGAUUCUCAAUAGUUAAAUUAUAUAAUUUUUUGUCUAUUUAAAAUUGGUUUAUAAAUAAUAUAAAUAAAAAGAUUUAAAAUAUAUAUAUUCAUAUUGAUCGGCGUUUUCAUUAUUAGACUUUUUUCCCUACAGGUAAAAGUAUUUAUGGACAGGAUGAUGUAAAAUUAUGACCUAAAUAAUUUUAAACCUUUCAUCAUUGCAAAAAUGAAAAUAAUAGAAAUGAAAGACUAGCCAUUGUAUGAAAUUUGGCAGGCCAUGUCAAUUUCGUAGAUUUGCACUCUGAACUGUGAAAAAAAUACAAAUUUUAGGUUUUUCAAGCAUUUUAAUUCGUAUAUAUGAAAAAAAAAAAAAAAGAAGAUAGGAGAGAACCUUCCUAGAAUAUUUAAGAAAACAGCUCCAAAGACACUAUUGAAGCCGACUCUAAAGCAGAUUUUCAUCAAGAUUGAAUAUUCCCAGUUGAUUUCUUAAGAGAUUAUCAUGAGUUUCUUUAUUUCUUUCGGUUAUACUGCCCUUUGGAUGUUUUAAUUUUUAAGCAUGAACUAAUUUUCUAAAUACCUAAGAGAGAUGAACCCUAUGAUAGAUUGUGGCACCCCAAACCCGAUCAGGAUAGAGCAGCUCGAAUUCGAAGCAUUACAUUAGCCACCUAAGUGACUCUCCAGCUAGCGACCACCCAGGACACACCCCAACCUUGUAACACCUCAAUCUUGUUUAAUUAUUAGUUAUUUAUUAUUGCAGAAGUAAAUUAUGAGCCAAUUUCAAACUUUUCCUAGGUAAUUUAACCAAAGGGCAAUUUUGUCAUUUUACCACCUAUUGUAAAACUAACUUGAUUUUAGAUCUAAGUGUUUACCAACCUUCUUUUACUCAAAUUAUGCAAGCCUAAAUUUUUUAGCUUAAUUUGAGUUUGUUUACUAUGUCUAAUUCAAGUUUUAUUAUUAAUGACUAAAUUGUAACUCAAACAAAUUAGAAUAUAAUUUAAAGAGAAAAAAAUUCCAAACCCCAAAACUAACACGGGCAUGUGGGUAAGUGACACGGGCAUGUGGAGACUGGAGCUAUCACACAUGGGCGAGUGGGAUUGAAAAAUAUGAAAUAAAUUAAUCCACUUAAUUUUCCAACUACCAUGCUAUACUACCAAACCAAAUAACGCUUGAAGUUUUGAAUAGGGGCGAAUCUAAAAAAUAUUAGAAGAAUUAUAAUUAAAUUAUAAAAUUUUGAGAAGUUAUCAUGUAUUAAUUUUUUAUUUUUAAAGGGUCUUCAUAGAAUUUUUUUUCACAUUUUGGUUGGGCCAAUACCCCUGUCUGCCUCUUUAAAUUUGCUUGAACCCUAAACCCAAUAUUCGAUUUGUUGUGGAAGUUUGAUGCAUAAAAAUUUCUUUUUUAGAGGUUUAAAUUAUAAAUUUUUGAAAGAUUAAAAUAAAUUUGUCUUUUUUUUAUUAACAAAAUAUAAAAAGAAAAAAAAAACAUGUUUAGACAAGCCAAGAAACCUUUGGGAUCAUACAGGUGAUUUUGAUGAUGUCUCAUCCAUAAAAAUAAUCUCUUUAUACUGUAGGCUUGCUGAAUUUCUUUGAAAGGCCCAAAGGUAAUUUAACAUUCACAAAAUAAUCUCUAAAUACUGUAAAGACAAAUCAAAUCCACAGCAGCAUUAGAGUUGAUUAAGCUAAGCAUUGGCAAAUAUUACUUUGAUUUUGCAUGCAAUAUUGGCAAAACCCCCUCCUACAUUAGAAAAACAACAUAAUCCAUGUAACAUUGAUAGCCCAAUACAAAUUUCAUCAAGAAAAAAGUCUCUUUGUUUAUUUGUAGAACAUGAUAGUAAAGAUAUGGAGUUUCGUACGUUCUUCUUGUUGUCCUCCUUUAGUUUCCCUUGAUCAACAACCACUAGCCAAAAACACAAUUAGAUUAGAUUAUGAAUGAUACUUUCAACUAUGACAAUAUUAAAUACAAAACACUCUAAAUAACUCUAAAUAAAUGGAAAGCAGCAAAUUACCUGAUAAGGCAAGUUAGCUGAAUUAAGACCAUUGUGUUAUACUUGUCUUUGAAUUGAAAAUUUUAGAAGAAAAUAAAGAGAAAAAGUUAGAAAAUACUUGAAAACAGAUAAAACUUAUAUGUCAUUGAUUGGAUAAACUACAAUCACCUAUAAUAGACCUUGUACUUGACUUUUGUUGAGGGAGAUCGACUCCUUUAGGAGAAGUCUUUUGAGUGUUGUUUGCUAGGCAAUCGGUGCUGCCCUCAACAACUAAUGGUAGUGUCCCCAUGUCGGGAUUUAAAAUUUAUAUUGAAUUACUUUAUACUUAAAUUUAUGAGAACCACGUAUUUAGAACUUAAAUUUGUGUUUUAAAAUAACUUAUGAUAAAUAAUGAAAUGUAUAAUUUGAAACUAUUUAAUAAUAACACAUAGCACAUCUACUAUGUUAAAAUAAAAAUAGAUUAAAUUGUAAGUAAAACAUAAUUUAAACAUAUGAAUACAUCAAAUUAAGAAUAAUAAAUGAAUACAGUUAUUUAUGAAGAGAGCAUACUACGUGAGAGCAAAAGAAAAAAUAUAGUUUAUUAAUUUUUACGAAUACCGACAUAUUAUAUAUACGAUUAAAAUUCAGAAUAGAUUAAAAAUGUUGAAUUAAACAUAAAAUUAAGUNNNNNNNNNNNNNNNNNNNNNNNNNNNNNNNNNNNNNNNNNNNNNNNNNNNNNNNNNNNNNNNNNNNNNNNNNNNNNNNNNNNNNNNNNNNNNNNNNNNNNNNNNNNNNNNNNNNNNNNNNNNNNNNNNNNNNNNNNNNNNNNNNNNNNNNNNNNNNNNNNNNNNNNNNNNNNNNNNNNNNNNNNNNNNNNNNNNNNNNNNNNNNNNNNNNNNNNNNNNNNNNNNNNNNNNNNNNNNNNNNNNNNNNNNNNNNNNNNNNNNNNNNNNNNNNNNNNNNNNNNNNNNNNNNNNNNNNNNNNNNNNNNNNNNNNNNNNNNNNNNNNNNNNNNNNNNNNNNNNNNNNNNNNNNNNNNNNNNNNNNNNNNNNNNNNNNNNNNNNNNNNNNNNNNNNNNNNNNNNNNNNNNNNNNNNNNNNNNNNNNNNNNNNNNNNNNNNNNNNNNNNNNNNNNNNNNNNNNNNNNNNNNNNNNNNNNNNNNNNNNNNNNNNNNNNNNNNNNNNNNNNNNNNNNNNNNNNNNNNNNNNNNNNNNNNNNNNNNNNNNNNNNNNNNNNNNNNNNNNNNNNNNNNNNNNNNNNNNNNNNNNNNNNNNNNNNNNNNNNNNNNNNNNNNNNNNNNNNNNNNNNNNNNNNNNNNNNNNNNNNNNNNNNNNNNNNNNNNNNNNNNNNNNNNNNNNNNNNNNNNNNNNNNNNNNNNNNNNNNNNNNNNNNNNNNNNNNNNNNNNNNNNNNNNNNNNNNNNNNNNNNNNNNNNNNNNNNNNNNNNNNNNNNNNNNNNNNNNNNNNNNNNNNNNNNNNNNNNNNNNNNNNNNNNNNNNNNNNNNNNNNNNNNNNNNNNNNNNNNNNNNNNNNNNNNNNNNNNNNNNNNNNNNNNNNNNNNNNNNNNNNNNNNNNNNNNNNNNNNNNNNNNNNNNNNNNNNNNNNNNNNNNNNNNNNNNNNNNNNNNNNNNNNNNNNNNNNNNNNNNNNNNNNNNNNNNNNNNNNNNNNNNNNNNNNNNNNNNNNNNNNNNNNNNNNNNNNNNNNNNNNNNNNNNNNNNNNNNNNNNNNNNNNNNNNNNNNNNNNNNNNNNNNNNNNNNNNNNNNNNNNNNNNNNNNNNNNNNNNNNNNNNNNNNNNNNNNNNNNNNNNNNNNNNNNNNNNNNNNNNNNNNNNNNNNNNNNNNNNNNNNNNNNNNNNNNNNNNNNNNNNNNNNNNNNNNNNNNNNNNNNNNNNNNNNNNNNNNNNNNNNNNNNNNNNNNNNNNNNNNNNNNNNNNNNNNNNNNNNNNNNNNNNNNNNNNNNNNNNNNNNNNNNNNNNNNNNNNNNNNNNNNNNNNNNNNNNNNNNNNNNNNNNNNNNNNNNNNNNNNNNNNNNCCAUUCCAUCUGAAAGCUCCCUUUAUAUACAUAUCCAAAACUCCUGAACCAAGCAUAUUGCUUUCCUCAAAUCAUAGUGCUCGUGAAAGUUCAGCAUGUGAAAUUCUUCUCGGUGUCUUCAAAGACAACAAAUCAUCUUUAAUUGGUAAAGCUGUACUCCUCCUUUGGCAUCUUCUAUACAUAAUAGUUAAGACUAUUAGUACUACGACAAUACCAAUUGUUGGUAAACCAUACCUAAAAGCAUGCAAUAUAAUCAUU